rnacentral:lncRNA from 1 species
UCUGCCUUGUUGAUGCAGGUGAACUGUUGGCUAGUGCACCCGUGCUGCCAAGCGACAACAAUGGUGUCUUUUCGUCCCUAACUGAUGUUUGAUGGUUAGAAUUCAAUUUUUUUCAGUUUGUAUUGAUGUAGUUCAAACUCUAAUAAUUAUCUUGAAGUGUUGUAACUCUUGGGAAGAUGUGUAAUAUAAUUUUAAUUCGUUUUUACUCUACCAUUUUCUACACUUUCUUGCAUCCAAAAUACCAACUUUAGUGCAUUCAUAUCUUCUUGAAUAUUGUUUGUAUUUAUCAUACUGCAGAUAUAAAGUGGAAAUUUUGAGUAGAUUUUCCACUGUUCGGGUUGUCUUCGUAAGAAAUCCCAAACAACACUAAAGGGCUUCAUUAUAUCCUAUAGACGUAUUUGCAUUCCGUGUGCAUCACAGAAUGGUGGAAACAAAUAACAUCUUAAGGAAAGAGAUAUUUGUUAUAUGCCUUGAAGCCGGUAUUGUUUUAAGUUCGAGUUUUUGCGAUAUUCCAACAUCUAGUUUCGUCUAAUCGUCAUCUCUAAACUGAUCUCACCAACACCUUUGAACCUCGUUUUCGUAAUCUACCUAUAUAAAUUCAACUAAUUCAAUCCGUCAAUUUGUUAAAAUCUGGAUGAUCGAAAACGUCUUACAGAUGUUUUAAAUUGACCAGCUUCCCUAGUUCUGCUGGAAUGGUCCCGUUAAACCUGUUACUCCCCAGGCCCCUGAAGGUUGAAUAGAUUUUUAAAAUUACAAUUAGAAUUCCGAGAAAAUAUAUCCACUAUCAAACAAAACAUUCAUGGUGUUUGCUUCUUUAUGUAGGAGUGACCAUAUGUAGAGAGAGAGAUCUAUGGGUCAAUUGAUAUAUGGACUUUGCUUGAUGUAUAUAAUUUUUGUACAUCAAGGUGUCCAUGCCUCUCACAUGGGGUGGGGUCCACACUUUUGUAGGCCCCACCCCAUGUGAGAGGCAUUGAUACCCUUAUGGACAAAAAUUAUGUAUACCCUUAUGGACAAAAAUUAUGUACAUCUAGAAUUUUCCUUGAUAUAUAGAUGGGGAGAUAGCUAGAUAAGAACUCACAAAUAUACGAGCGUGGUAAUGUUUCCCAGGAAUUUCGGUAUGGGUCCAGAUAGGCGGUUCACCAAAAGACACCUAUAUCACACAUACUUUUUCGAUAUAACAGAGGAUGUAGACAUUGCAUCAUUGCCAAAACUCAAUUAAAAGCUACAGGUAAAGCUCACAUGUACUCCAAUUUGGUUGCUCCCCAUUCCAUGGGUAUUGUACCAUUAAGGUAGUUGCCACUAAGAUCUCUGCAACCAACAGAUUCAGAGUGAGAUCAAUGUAGCCAAUAAAUUGUCUCAACCUUUUGAAGCAAAAAGCUGAGUAGAUUUAAUAAAUUGAAAAUAAACUUGGAACAUCUUGCUACAUUGUCUUGAGGUAGGGUAACUUUGCCAGUGAGGGCGGAAGGACACCUGCCAAAUCCUGUCCUUUUAGAAAUCUGUUUGUAAAGAAAAAGAGGCUAUCUUUAGCAUACUCUGAAUUGAAAAGUUUUCAUCUAAAUUUUACAAGUGCAACAAUUAAAGUUUCUUGACAGGUGAAAGAAACAAAGCCAAAAAAAAAAAAAAAAAAUCAUUCCGAAGGGAUUUUGAAAGAAACGAUACAAUAGAUUAAGCCCAUGUUUGGUGGGGAUUAUUUUUAGCAAAUUUUGAUAAAAGUUGAUGAAAUGUAUAGUUGAAAAGUUUUGGGUCUAUAAAAUAUGCAGCUAAAAUUAAUUGUUGAUUUUUAUUUAGAUUAAGAUCUAGAUUUUAGUCCUACCAAAUAGGGGCUAAAUGUAUAGUGUUUCAAGUAAAACAACUUGUUAGAGUGGCUUCUCGAGCACACUACAAACGUUAUACUAUUUCAUUUUCAACUCUAACUUAACAUCAAGAAUGUAACUUGAAACACUGACAUGGUGAAAUAAAGUUGCAUGCUUGACUGAAUGGAAAAAAAGAACUUCUUAUUUAUUUUUUAUUUUUUUAUGGUUAUAAUACUGACACAGCUUAUUCCUAUACAUAUUUUAAGUGCAAAUCCUGGUUAAAGAUGAUGAAGAUAGAGAGUCUAGCAAUAUAAAAUGAGUAAUGCUAUUUAGUACCAUUAGUGUUAUAAUACCAGUUUUGGUGGCACCAAUUGUCAUUAAAUGAGUCACUACCUUUUCAUUUAGCCCAUUGUAUUGUGACAUUUAAACUGGUCUUAGAUGACAUUAUUCAUAUGAAAUAAGUCAUAAAGGUCAAGUUUGAUUACUAGGCACCAUAAGUUCUAUUGAGGUUUAAGCAGGAAAAAAGUACAAUAAUUCCCACAUAAAAUACCAUUUUAAGAAUCAACAAACAGAUUUGCAACCAUUAUAUGGUAUUCCACGCCUCAAAAUCAGAUACUGAAAACCCCAUAUUUGGCUGCUUCAAGAUCAAUAGAAGCAGAAUAUAUUUUCUGUGAUUCUUGAUUCCUUGCAAUAUAAUAGCACAAAUGGCUAUUUCUAAAUCAGUUUCAAACUAAUGAUAAAGAUGAUAAGUUUUCAGCAAGAAAACCUACAUUGAUUUUACGUGGCACACACCACCAGGGAAAUUACAAUUGCAGAUGAUGGAAUUGGUGUACCAUUGUAUAUCUUCUCGUUUCGGUGUAUUCCAGUUUGAGUUAUUAUCACAAGGAUUCAGGUUGAAGUCCCAGUCCUUUUUGCCCAACUGAUCAGCUAUUUCACGAAGAGCAUUCUCUGCAAAAAUCAGAAUUCUAUUCUAAAAUAGAAAUGUGAUCGGAUUUCAUGUUGAUCAAAGUGAACUUUUAAGGAUAACCUGAAGUUUAAUGGAAGGCUAAAAAGUGUAGUACCUAAUGAGCUAAACACGUGAAUGGAAAGAAAGAAAUGGUUUACAUAAAAAAACGAUCCUUACUUUCCUCAUCAGGGAGAUAUCCACUCCGUGCAGAAAUAAUUGUUGCUUUGAAGAGAAGUAAUAUCGUCAAGGUGAACAUAAAGAUGAGAAUAGCUUUAGACAUCUUUGCGCCUCAGUUUAAUAUUCAUCAGGCCGAAACAAGUACAUGUAUAUAUAUGAGAGAGAGGAGAUUAGAACUUCGGUUAACGACUUUAGCAUUCGAUGAGAUGUUAAACAAGGUGGGACCUUCAAUGUCACGCCUGUGAUAACAUGGAACUAUGAUUGCAAUUAGUUCUUUAUUUUUUUUAAUUUAAAUAGAAGGGUAUAUUAGUCAUUUUAUAACUUUUUAUUGAGAAAAAUGAUGAAAAGAAUGUUUUCCACAGGAAAAGGUAAAGGUAGGGAUGAAAUGCGCCAAAAAGGGAAAUGUAGGGACGUUUUCCACAAAAAUCAUGAAAGGUAUGGACAUUUUGUGCUAAAUACCCUUUAUUUUACUUUCUUUCAUGAGAAGGCAUUUAAGACAGGACAUCAUAAAUAUUUUGUAUUUCCUCCCUAGCAAAAGAUAAACAUAAGUGCAUUAACUUUCUAGGUAGAUUGAAAGGACAACAAUGUAAAGUUAGGAAAUAGACAAUCAACAUAGGCCUCCUGAUCUGAUCACUAUCACAUCCAGCUCACAGUACAAUUGACUUCUCCUCAUUCCAUUUCAUUAGCAUUAAUCUCUUGUUCAAUACUUGUUCAUCUUUUGAACGAGUGAAUCUAAAAAUACCAGUAGAAAAAUUGUGAAAAAGAUAACUGCAUCAGCGUGGGGCUCAUUAGUAGAAUUUUGUAUCAGACUGUGCAAAGACUAGCUAGGUUGGUCAAUCACUAAGAAUUUUUCAUAAAUGCAUGUUCAAAUAUUACAAAGCUAUACUAUUAUGAAUCAAUUAAUGAUUCUUGAAUAAAUAUUUCUUUUCAAAUUGUAGAGAUAUUCACAAUAUUAAACACUAUUUUCCUAGAUUUCAUUGCGUUAUUGGAGUUUUGAUCAAAACAUUGACCAACUAGAUAAUACUUUGCAUGUCCAUUGACUCAACUUGAAGUGUUCUCAUAGCAAGCUCUCUCUCAAAGUCGCCCAUAAAAUCCAUGCUUUCUUAAAUUAUAUUUAUCGGCGCUAAUAUUUUUUUUGCAAGCGAUUGUGGCACAACACAUUGGAAAAAAUAGAGAUAUACAAAACUACUUCAACCAAUUAUCUUUGAUCAUCUAGUUGUUUUGCCUCUUAUUAGAUGUAAUAAAAUAAAUAGACCUGAGUGGUUCGUGGUCUCAGAAUGGAAGUUAUUAUUAUUGUUUUUACUUUAAAAUAGCAAUGAAGGUGUUUUAAGGCCAUUAUGUCUGCAUCUUCGUAAUCAAAUUGGUCUUGUGGGUAGUCCGUAUUCGUAUUAAAUCUAUUCUCAUUUUCAGGUGUUUCCAUUUUUUGCCAAUUUCUUGGGUAAAAUCUCCCACCUAUCUUAAAGAUAAAGAAAGCUUUCUUGGACACUUCUUACACUAAAAAUGAAGGACGAUCCAAUUUAUUAACUAUGAAGCACUAAUAUUUCUUCAAAGCAUAAAACAACUAAAAAAUUAGUAAAUAAUUAGUAAAAAUGAAUGAAAACCCGCUUCACGCUACUUGUUUUGAAUAAUCUCUGGUACAUAACUGAUAAAUUUACUAAAGAAGAAGUAUUUCAUCAAAUUUCAUCAUCUACUAACUUUAUCCUUAUUGAAUAUCUAACCAUAUAAUUGUUGUUCUUGUUAAUGUAUUCAAAAUGUGUUGGGUAAUUGCCUCAAAAGUCAAAAGUUGGAGGACUUCUAUUGCAAAUAAUAAAAGGUAAUAAUUGUAUGGAAGACUUAUAAUUAAAGUUGAGAACAGAAUCCUCGAAGAAUUUGGUUUCCAAUUUUACAACCGAUUUUGGAGUCUUGCACAUAAAGGAGUCCUUGUUUGAGUUGAAAUUAAACUCUUCUACUUAAUUAUCGAUCCUACAAAUAGUAGAUGUAUUUAUUAUUUUGGAGGUGUGGCCUGAGAGUUAAUCCGAGAGAUAAAUAUUGUGAGCCUAGCAUCUUGAGAGUUUUAUAUAAAGAGUAGAAAAGUGGGUAUGGCAAAGCUCAAGAUUAUUGUUCUUUGUAAUACUUGAGAAUUGGGUUGAUGAGUGAAAUUUUAUAUGGUUAUAACAAUUUUCAUAUAGUGAAAGGCUUUGACGGUCCAUUUAAUUUGUGCGUUAUAUUCUUCUUCUUCUUCUUCUUCUUUUGGCUAAUAUUUUCUUGAACAACAAUAGAUUCUGAGGGUAAAUAGAAACAAAGGAAAUUAGCGUAAAAUUCCUAACAAAAUGAAAUUUCCAUUUCCAUCAACAUCUCACCAUGUCAAUAGCAUGGUUGGCUAGUGAUACAAAUAGAUUAGUUAAUGACAGAUCCAAUCAAUUAAAUGGAUUUUGACAUUUUACCUAGGUAUUUAUUGUGGCGCAGAAAAAAAAAUUUCAUGUCAAUUUUAUCAAUGUUAUGCCCGCAAUAACAUGACCCGAACAUUUAUUUUACUUUCUUUCAUCAAAAGGCAUUUAAUACGGGACAUCAUAAAUAUUUUCUAUUUCCUCCCUGGCAAAAGAAAAACGUAAGUGCAUUAACUUUCUAGGUAGAUUGAGAAGCACCUUAACGGAAACUUGGGAAUUAGACAUUCAACAUUGGCCUCCUAAUCUGAAUAUUCAAAUAAAUAGCUUUUUCAUUAUCAUGUCUAUUCACCUCACGGUACAAUUGACUCCUCCUUAUUCCAUUUCAUCAACAUUAAUCUCUUGUUUUAUGCUUGUUCGUCUUCUUCUUCUAAAUGAGUGAACCUAAAAAAUAUCAGUAGAUAAAUUAUCAUUAUCAGAUAAAGAGAGCUGCAUGAGCAUGGGGCUAACUUGUACAAUUUUCUAUCAGACUGUCUGUAGUAACCUGAAAAUGAAAUCAGAGGAUUAGUAGAGACUUAGCAAAGAUUUGCUAGGUUAGUCCAUCACUAAGUCUUUUUCAUCUGCAUUUACAUUAAGAUAACAGAGAAAUUUAUAAAUGCAUGUUCAUAUAUUACAAAGCUAGACUAUUAUGAAUCAAUUGUUGAUUCUUGAAUAAAUAUUUCUUUUAAAAUUGUAGAGAUAUUUACAGUAUUAAACACCAUUUUCCUAGAUUUCGUUGCCUUAUUAGAGUUUUGAUCAAAACAUUGACAAACUAGAUAAUACUGUGCAUGUCCAUUGACUCAAUUUGAAGUAUUCUGAUUGCAAGCUCUCUCUCUAAGUCAGCCAUAAAAUCCGUACUUUCUUAAAUUAUAUCUAUCGGCACUAAUAUUUUUUUGCAAGUGAUCACGGCACAUCACAUUGUAAAAAAUAGAGAUAUACCAAAACUUCAACAGCCAACUAUCUUUGAUCAUCUAGUUGUUUUGCCUCUUAUAUUAGAUGUAAUAAAAUAAAUAGACCAGAGUGAUUCGUGGUCUCAGAAUGGAAGUUGUUACUACUACUACUUUAAAAUAGCACAGAAGGUAUUUUAUGGCCACUAUCUUUGCAUCCUCAUAAUCAAAUUGGUCUUGUGGAUAGUCCGUAUUGGUAUCAAAUCUAUUCCCAUGUUCUAGUGUUUCCAUUUUUUGCCAAUUUCUUUGGUAAAAUCUCCCAACUAUUUUUAAGAUAAAGAAAGCUUUCUUGGAUGCUUCUUGCACUAAAAAUGAAGGACGGUCCAAUAUAUUAACUACGAAGCACUAAUAUUUCUUCAAAGCAUAAAACAACUAAUGAUUAAUAAAAAUGAAUGAAAACCCACUUCGGGCUUCUUGUUUUCAAUAAUAUCUAGUACAUAACUGAAAAAUCUAUUAAAGAAGAAGUAUUUCGUCAAAUUUCUUCCUCGACUAACUUUAUCCUUAUUGAAUAUCUACCUAUAUAAUUGUUGUGCUUGUUAAUGUAUUCAAAAUGAAAUUUUCAUUUCCAUCAACAUUUCACCACAUCAAUAGCAUGGUUUGCUAGUGAUACAAAUAGAUUAGUAAACGACAGAUCGAGUCAAUUAAAUGGAUAUCGACAUUUUACCUAGGUAUUUAUUGUGGUGUAGCAAAAAAUUUUCAUGCCAAUUUUAUCAAUGUUAUGCCUACGAUAACAUGACCCGAACAUUUAUUUUACUUUCUUUCGUUAAAAGGCAUUUAAUACAAGACAUCAUAAAUAUUUUCUAUUUCCUCCCUGGCAAAAGAUAAACGUAAGUGCAUUAACUUUCUAGGUAGAUUGAGAAGGACCUUAAUGGAAUCUUGGGAAAUAGACCUUUAACAUUGACCUCCUAAUCUGAAUAUUCAAAUAAAUAGCUUUUUUCAUUAUCGUGUCUAUUCACCUCACGGUACAAUUGACUCCUCCUUAUUCCAUUUCAUCAGCAUUAAUCUCUUGUUUUAUGCUUGUUCGUCUUCUUGUGAACGAGUGAACCUAAAAAAUAUCAGUAGAUAAAUUAUCAUUAUCAGAUAAAGAUAACUCCAUAAGCAUGGGGCUAACCAGUAGAAUUUUCUAUUAAACUGUCUGUAGUAGACUGUCUGUAUUACCCUGAAAAUGAAAUCAGAGACUUCGCAAAGACUUGCAAGGUUAAAGCAUCACUAAGACUUUUUCAUCUGUAUUCACAUUCAGAUAAAUAGAGAAUUUCAUAAAUGCAUGUUCAAAUAUUACAAAGCUAGACUAUUAUGAAUCAAUUAUUGAUUCUUGAAUAAAUAUUUCUUUUCAAAUUGUAGAGAUAAUCACAAUAUUGAACACUAUUUUCCUAGAUUUCGUUGCCUUAUUGGAGUUUUGAUCAAAAUAUUCACCAACUAGAUAAUAUUGUGCAUGUCUAUUGACUCAAUUUGAUGUGUUUUGAUUGCAAGCUCUCUCUCAGUUGCCCAUAAAAUCCAUACUUUCUUAAAUUAUAUUUAUCGGGGCUAAUAUUAUUUUGCAAGUGAUUGUGGCACAACAAGUUGGAAAAAGUAGAGAUAUACCAAAACUACUCUAGCCAAUUAUCUUUGAUCAUCUAGUUGUUUCGCCUCUUACAUUAUAUGUAAUAAAAUAAAUAGACCAGAGUGGUUUGUGGUCUCAGAAUGAAACUUUUUUUUUUUUUUUUUUUACUUUAAAAUAAAUAGCACCGAAAGCAUUUUAUGGCCACUAUGUUUGCAUCCUCAUAAUCAAAGUGGUCUCAUGGGUAGUCCGUAUUGGUAUUAAAUCUAUUCCCAUGUUCUGGUGUUUCCAGUUUUUGCCAAUUUCUGGUAAAAUCUCCCACCUAUCUUAAAGAUAAAGAAAGUUUUCUUGGAUGCUUCUUGCACUAAAAAUGGACGGUCCAAUUUAUUAAACUAUGAAGCACUAAUAUUUCUUCAAAGCAUAAAACAAGUAAAAAAUUAGUAAAAAUGAAUGAAAACCUGCUUCGGGCUUCUUGUUUUCAGUAAUCUCUGGCACAUAACUGAUAAAUCUACUAAAGUAGCAUAUCAUCAAAUUUCUUCCUCUGCUAACUUUAUCCUUAUUGAAUAUCUAAUUAUAUUAUUGUUGUACUUGUUAAUGUAAUCAAAAUAAAAUUUCCACAGUCAACAUCUCACUACGUCAAUGGCAUGGUUUGCUAGUGAUACAAAUAAAUUUUCAUGUCAAUUUUAACAAUUUAUAGGCCUCAAAUCCCUAUUAGAAUUUUUUUCAGUUGUGCUAGCGCAUCUUGAGUUUAAACCUAUUAGGUUCCCAAACACCUGAGGUCAAGUUCCUCUCCUCUGCAAGAUAUUUAUAGACAAAAUGAAGUAUUCUAUUUAAUAUUUUAUUUUACUUUUAACAAGAAAGAACAGUAAAACUGUUUUAGAACGUGCGCAUAAGCUGUAAUUAGGACUCAUAAAGAUUUGUUAAGUAAGCCCGACUUCAAGAGGUAUUUUAAAUUCAACCUUAGUAAUUUGAUGCUCUACAUCAAUGUCUGAAUGAAGUUUGCAUUUGCAUGUGUUUGAUAUUGUUUAAAAGUUACUUUUCUAGUCAGCAAGUUUUUUAGCAAAAUAGAAAAUCACUUUUGACAAUAUAAGUAACGCAACAACAAAUUUAAUAAAAUCCAAGUAAUGUUAUAAAUGACACAAGUUGGCAGUACACAGGAAUCGGGGAAGGGUAUAGCCACCUUGACAGAAAAAUGUUUCGGCAAAAUAUGAUUGGAUGAAAGAGUUAACAAUGUUUCAGAAAGUCUAAUAAUAUGAUGUCAUGUAACCAUAUGUCAAGAAUUAUGUCAACCAUUAUGUUACUGUAGCAUGAUUCAUAGGAAAAUGGAUCAAAAGAGUCCUUUCUCGCUAGCAAUUGUCGUAUCUUUAUAGUUGACCGCAACAUAUUACUUUGCAUUUCUCAAUGUACGUGCCCUUGAAUAAAUGGACGGAAAGUACUAAGAAAGAGAAAUAAAUUCUAAUUCAUAAUUCAUUGAAGGUUGUCUGAGAAGGAAUCUCGAGCAGAUGUAGAGGAUAAGCCAGUUUCUGGUGCAUCAGACAAAUGAAUGAGGAUUGAGUUUUACUUGAAUUAAGUUUCAAGUAUUAGAACUUCUCUCUGACUGAUUGAAGAUUCACUAACGAAUUGAGCUGACUCCCUUCGCACCAUUAACUAGUUGAGUUGGCUACGGAUGAACUACAGGAGCUCGUCGAUCAAUCACAUGAGUCGGGUGGCGAGGCUAGACGAUUUGAAUUUCCUUCUUAAAAGGUCAACUUUAUUAUAAGGAAUAAUCCAAACCCUUAUAAGUUGGUUUAUAUAUCUUUAUUCGAUGUGUGACUUUAUCGCUUAACAUGCCGAGUAAGAUGGUCGAACCAAUCUUGAAAUCCAUGUACUCAUUUUUUUUAGCCUUAAUAGGAUUGAAUCGCUCAUUUGAGCUUAAUAGACUCUAAUAUCAUGUAAAGAUUUGGGAUUCCAUCUUAAAAUGUCACCAUUGUUAAGGAGAGUAGUUCAAAUCCUUAUAAGUUGGACUAUAUUUUUAUCUUUAUUUUAUGUGAAAUUUUAUCCCUUGACAUCUAGGCCUGCAAAAUAGCAAAUUGCUUAGUAAUUGAUAUCGACAUCUUACCUGUGUUUAUGGGCAUUGAGUUGGAAAGUUUUGAACUUUAGCUUGAGAAUAGACUACUCAAUUGAAGUGUUGUAAUCAGUAUUAAUAUUCCGUCGACUUUGAAUACAAUUUACAAUUUAUAACAUUCACAGAAGGUAAUAAGUAACCUUUUUAUAAUUUUACGUAAAGAAGAAAAUUUUGUUGAUAAAAUAAAUUUAUUUCCUCCAAAUCUCCAUUACCAGUUUGAACAAUUUCUUUUAUCUAUAUAUAUACACACGCGUGCGCAUGCAUGCAUGUGUCCAAGGGUGUACUGAAUGUAAUUAUGGUUGAUAAUUGUUGGGCUAUAAUGCCAUCACAUCCGUAAGUGGGGCGAUGAUAGUAUCAUGGGCUUGGCCCAUUUUCGGUAUUUGAUCCAUUACACGGUAUUUCAAACGUGGAGGCCCAAUACCCAUACCCAAUAUAUGGAAAAUCGCAUAUUGGAAGAGCAAUUUUAGUUGCCAAUUAAUGCUGAAGUCACUAAUUGCCCUCGACUGUUGAUCAUCAUCCAAAAUCAAUGGUGAUGGUGUAAAGUAUAAAUGGGAUCUUACUUUGUUACCCUAGUUCACUUGUACUCUGAUAUUUGUUGGUGUUUUCUGGAAUUCUCACUAAGUUUGGUUUGUUUCUUUUGUCUUCUUUCGAUCAUCUUUAACCUCUAGUUGGAUAGUUUCUCGUGGUUUUCUGAGUGAAAUUUGAGUUUCUAUGGUUGAUGGUGAGAGAAAGGUGCAGUUUCAAGUUCAAUACCUUCUGGUCCAUAAAAGAAGUGUCUUCUGAUCCACUAAGGGUUUAGGUUUGAGGUUUCUGGUUUGUAAACAAGGGUAUUCGAGAUGCCUUAGGUUGUGUCUUGAGUUGUAAUCUUUGAUAUAAACAUUUGUAUAGUUUGAUUCGAUUUUUGUUCUAAUAGUAACUUGAUCGAUUGGUAAGUUGAUUGAAUAGUAUUAGAUAAUCCCUCCUUAUCUUAAAAGAGAGAAUAUAAAGUUUACGAUUCAUUUUUGUCACAUAGAUUUUCACAUGAAACUGGUUUGAAACUCAUUUGACAGCAAUAAAUUAUUCCAUUCAAUCACACUUUAGCAUUUUUUUUCACAUGCUAUUUCACUGCAAUUAUUAAAAAAAAAAAAAAAAGGAAUUGCAGGCAAACAUAGAAAAAAAUUAUUAUAAAAUUUUUAAAUUAAAUUGAAAUAAUUAAAAUUAAAAAUAAAAAUUAUCUAAUUUAAAUUUAACAAAUCACGUUCUAUCAUAAAGAAUGUAUAAAUAUUAUUAUCAAUGAAAUAAAUAUGGCUUUAUUUCAGCAGUUCAAUUCUUACUAUAAAUAUGGCUUGUAUCUGAUCAAUGAAAUUAAUCAAUAAAAUAUGAAUUUCUUCUUCUAGUUACUUUCUCUCUCUUUUUCUUGGUUGAUUCUCUCCGGUUAAUCUUGCAAUUUAACAUUAAUGGCCCUCCUAAAUUCCCGGAAGUCUCCUCUGUGUUGGAGCUGGACGUCGUUUGAGUUUCUGGCUACCUCCGGUACUGGUAGCUCCGGCGGCUGCAUGAGGUCGCUUCAGCUGUAUUGCUCAGUUCUAAUGAUCAUGUGAUUGCCGUUUAUUAACAAAUUCUUGAAUUUUACUUUUUCUGAAUAGGGAAGGAAUGCUAUGAUUUUUCAAUUCACAGACAAUCAAAUGAAUGUGAUAUUAUAUGGUCUUCUGGGUUCGUGGGGAUAAGGAUCUUUUUAAUCAUUAAGUUUAUUUACGUGUUCAAGAAUGGUGUCUUUUUUUUCUUGGCAAAUCUUUCGUGGAAAUUGUUCUUCUUUCAGUCUUCAGUUGAUUUCGACUAUCUGAUCGUUGGCUUGUCUAAUCUAAAAGUCAUCCAAAGGCUGUCGCAGCAAUUUUUAGGGAAUUUACGAAGUGGUUCUGGAGACGAGAAAUGCCGGCGGAGUAGUAGAAAAGAGUUCAAGACGUAGUAUUGGAUAUAAUUUGAUAAUGCAAGAAGCUGCACCACUGCAAUCAAGUAAUUAUCUAGGAAUCAGAUGGAGAUCUCCUCGAAAAAUUAAAGAAAUUACAGUUGUUGGCAGUGGUCAAUUUGAUUAUUUUCUCCAAUGAACACUUGGAAGGGCCACUUACGCCAACUAAAAUUCCUACCCUAAUUAUAGGCUUCUGGGUUGUUGGGGACAAGGAUCUUUCUCAAUCAUUACUUUCCAGGAUGGUGUCCUAUGUUGUGGCAAAUCUUUCUGUGGAAAUUGUUUUUCUUCACUCUUGACUUGCUGCCAAUGGAGGAAAGUGGACUGUGCUAGGGGUAAAUCUGAUACGUGUUGGCUUUACCCGGUACAUUAUAACAUAUUCUGUUCAACUUGUUAAUCUCUUAAUAUUAUGCUUCGACUAAUUUUCCAUAUUGAUUUCAUAUUAGCUGCUGGCAAUGAUUGGAGAACAAUUUGAUCAUGGAGAUGAAAUCUGUGGAGCAGUGUUCAAUGUCGGAGGGAGGCAGGAAAAAAUUGCUUUAUGGACCAAGAAUGCUGCAAUGAAGCUGCUCAGGAAAUUUGUUUGAACAAAUAACUGAAGCUGUUCUUACUAGAUUUUGUGACAUGUAGUAGACCAUUUUCCUUUCCUUAAUUCUUAUGCGAGACUUGUUUCUCUGGGCAUUUUAUGGUUUGUUUUCGUGAUAUUAAUAAUGAAACUAUGCAUGUGACACUGGAUUUGAUGAAGAGUAGAGGGCGGUGACCACUCUCCUAAACUUUUAACAAUCUUUCUGAGUUUUUCUAUAUAUAUAGCUGUCAAAAAUGAUUUUUCGCUAUCACAAUUUAAGAACAUGCUGCUUUAUGCUAAUAAUUUCUUUAAAUUGUAAUACACGUGCUUAUGAGGAAGCAACGCACUGUGUAAUCAUUGAAGGGAUCCCCGUUUUAGAAAGGUUGCUGAAUUGAGCAUGUUUGUUGCAUAGUAUUAUGUGGAAUUGGGCACUAUAGUGAACAAUAUUUAGCUUAUUUACGUUCUCUAAAUUGUUUAGUACUAUCUAUUUGGAGCCUACAUUUUAGCCUUCACAAUUUCUUUCAUGUGUGUCAGACACAUUUUUCAAAAGUUGCAGCAAAUGUUGAAAAAAAAGGAAUGUGCAUGGAAACUCUUGCUAACAACAGCCGUAUUUUUGGAAGAAAUUUUUGCCAUGCAUUUAAUGCAAGGCAACUUUGUUGAAAAAUUGAUGGACAUGCAUUUAAUGAGGAAGGUGAGAAUUUUACUAUGAAUACGAGGCCAAAGCAGGAGCAAAAGAUAUGAGUGAAAAGAGAAGUGCAAGAAAAGUGUUGAGUGAGCAAAGCACAAAAGUGAGAAGCAGUUAGGCUUCAGUUUGUGCAGAAAUUAACGAGAGAAAAAUUUAUUGUGCAGAAAAUUAACGAGAGAAAAAUUGAGAGAUUGUCUUUACAUAGACAAAUAAAAUACAGAAAGUAUAUUUGUUGUAUUCAUUUUCUUCUCUUGUUGAUAUAGUAAAAGAAUUGGUGUGGGUUUGUGGACGUAGGCACGAUUGCUGAACCACGUAAAUUCUUGUGUCACUUGCACUUAUUAUUUUUUGCUACAUUUAUUUCUUCUCAGUUCAAAUUAUUUUGUGUCCCAUUGAUCCUGGCGGAAUUAGUAACGGUCUAAUUUCCUAACAACUGGUAUCAGAGCUCCAGAAUUUAAGUGGGAGGAAUGACAACAGACGAGAAGAUAUCCAAAAUCGAUAAGUUUGAUAGCACAAACUUUGGAUUUUGGAAGAUGCAAAUGGAGGACUAUUUGUACCAGAAGGACCUGUAUAAACCACUUCACGUAAAGCCGGAGGACAUGAUCGACGAGGAGUGGGAAUUACUUGAUCGAAAGGCCCUCGGCGCAAUAAGGCUGCCAUUAUCAAAAUCAGUCGCUUUCAACAUAAAAAAUGAGAAGACGACGGCAUCUCUCAUGGCGGCCCUGUCUAGCAUGUAUGAACAACCAUCUGCAGCAAACAAAGUCCAUUUAAUCAAAAAGCUAUUUACUAUGAAAAUGGCGGAAGGCGAAAGAUCUGGAGAACAUUUAAAUGUGUUCAAUGAAGUGACGGACCAGUUAAACACAGUCGAAAUCACAUUCAGUGAUGAGGUUCGAGCUUUAUUGAUUCUCGGGCAGCUGCUUGAGAGUUGGAAUGGCACAGUUACAGCAAUUAGUAGCUCUGUCGGAAAUUCCAAAUUGAAAUUUGAAGAUGUCGUGAGCAUAAUCCUAAUCAAGGAAAUACGAAGACAGUCGGAAGGUGUUUUCACUUCUGGAGCAGCUUUGAACGUGGAGAGCAGAGGCAGAAGUUCGAACAGAGGUAAAGGGCAUUACAGGAGCAAGUCAAGGUUUGGUAGAUCAAAAUCCAGAAAUCCAAAGAAUUCCAACAAAUCAAAAGUUGUUGAAUGUUGGAAUUGUGGCAAGAUCGGACACUACAAAAAUCAGUGUCAAGUUUCCAAGAAAGAAAAUGAAAACAAGACCGAGGCCAAUGUUGUAGCAGAAGAAUCAGAUGAUGCUUUGAUAUGCUCUUUGGACAGCAAAGCAGAAUACUGGGUAAUAAAUUCUGGAGCAUCUUUUCACGCUACAUCAAACAAAGAACUCUUUACGAGUUAUGAGCUGGGUAAUCUUGGAAAAGUGUAUCUUGGUGAUGAUCAACCUUGUGACGUAAUCGGCAGAGGUGAAGUACAAAUCAAACUUAAUGGAUCUGUAUGGAAAUUGAAGGAUGUCAGACAUAUUCCAGACUUGAGGAAGAACUUGAUAUCUGUGGGCCAACUAUCAAAUGAGGGUUAUGUCACAACCUUCAACGGUGAUAUUUGGAAGGUUUCCAGGGGUGCAAUGACCAUAGCACGAGGCAAGAAAAGUGGUACUCUUUACACCACGACGAGUGCUUGCAGAAUAAUUGCAGUUGCUGAUUCGAAUGAAGAUCCGAAUCUAUGGCACCAGAGAUUGGGCCAUAUGAGUCAGAAUGGACUCAAGUACAUGCAUGACAAAGGGAAACUACCAGGACUUCAAUCUAUUAAUGCAGACCUAUGUGAGAGUUGCAUUUUCGGGAAGCAGAGGCGAGUGAGUUUCAACAAGUGUGGCAGAACUUCGAAGUAGGAAAAGCUAAAGUUAGUCCGCAUAGAUGUCUGGGGACCAGUUGUAGUUCCGUCUAUUGGCGGAAAGUCUUAUUUUGUGACUUUCAUCGAUGAUCACUCCUGAAAAGUAUGGGUCUACUUCUUGAGACACAAAUCCGAAGUGUUCGAGAUGUUCAAGAAGUGGAAAGCUAUGGUGGAGAAUGAAACAAGUUUGCCAGUAAAGAAAUUGAGAUCAGAUAAUGGCAGUGAAUACGAACAUACUGAUUUCAAAAUGUUUUGUUACCAGAAUGGUAUCAAACUGGAAAGGACGUUGCUAGGAACACCGCAACAAAAUGGUGUGGCCAAACGAAUGAACCGGACGUUGACAGAGAGAGCCAGAAGCAUGCGGUUACAUACUGGCUUGCCUAAACAAUUUUGGGUUGAAGCUAUCAACACAGCAGCAUACUUAAUCAAUCGCGGGCCAUCAGUGCCUUUGGAGUAUAGGAUACCAGAGGAAGUAUGGAGCGGAAAAGAAAUAAAACUUUCUCAUUUGAAAGUUUUUGGUUGUGUCGCAUAUGUACAUAUUAGUGAUCAAACUAGGGGUAAGCUUGACCCCAAAUCACUAAAGUGUACCUUCAUUGGAUAUCGUGGAGAUGAGUUCGGGUAUCGCUUUUAGGAUGAUAAGAACAAAAAGGUCAUCAGAAGUCGGGAUGUCAUAUUCAAUGAAAGGGUGAUGUACAAGGACAGAGAUACAGCGUAGUCAAGUGACAUACAUGAUAAUCCAACAUAUGUUGAGUUGGAUGAUACUCCAAGUAGUAGUAUGUCAAAGCAGACAGAUGGAAGUCUUCAGCCAGAGGAAGCUGUUGCGGAGACUUUAACUCCAACCCCUAUUCCUAGAAGAUCUUCCCGACCACAUGUUCCAAAUAGAAAGUACAUAAAUUAUUUGUUACUUACUGAUGCCGGUGAACCUAAAUGCUAUGAUGAGGCAUGUCGGGGAGAUGAUGCAAUUAAGUGGGAGCUUGCAAUGAAAGAUGAGAUAACGUCUCUUAUCUCUAAUCAAACAUGGGAGCUAGUUGAGUUGCCUGCAGAAAAGAAAGCCAUACAAAAUAAAUGGGUCUAUCGAGUUAAGGAGGAACAUGACGGAUCAAAGCGAUACAAGGCGAGAUUGGUGGUCAAAGGUUUUCAACAGAAAGAAGGAAUUGACUACACAGAGAUUUAUUCUCCAGUAGUAAAGCUGAUAACAAUUCGAUUAGUAUUAAGUAUUGUUGCAGCAGAGGGGUUGCACUUAGAGCAGUUAGAUGUGAAAACUGCCUUUCUCCAUGGUGACUUAGAGGAGGAGAUAUAAAUGCAGCAACCAGAGGGUUUCUCAAUCAAAGAAAAAAAGAAGCUCGUGUGCAAAUUGAAGAAAAGUUUGUAUGGCUUAAAACAAGCUCCGAUACAGUGGUACAAGAAGUUUGACGGAUUUAUGCAGAAAAAUGGCUACUACAAGUGCAAUGCUGACCGUUGUUGCUAUUUUAAAAGGUUGGAGUCCAGCUACAUUAUUUUGCUACUUUAUGUUGAUGACAUGUUAAUAGCGGGACCAGACAUGAACGAAAUCCAAAAAUUAAAGAAGCAACUGUCAGCAGAAUUCGAAAUGAAGGACUUGGGUCCAGCUAAACAAAUUCUAGGGAUGAGAAUUUGUAGGGACAAGCAAAAAAGCACUUUGAAGUUAUCCCAAGCCAAGUACAUUAGUCAAGUUUUGCAGAGGUUCAACAUGAACAAUGCAAAGGCAGUUAGCACGCCAUUGGCUAAUCACUUCCGUCUAUCAAACGACCAAUCUCCGAAAACAGAAGACAAAGAAACUUCAUGGCUAAUAUUCCAUACGCCUCAAUCAUUGGAAGUUUAAUGUAUGCCAUGGUCUGUACAAGACCAGAUAUUGCUCAUGCAGUGGGAGUUGUGAGCAGAUUCAUGACGAAUCCAGGAAAACAGCAUUGGGAAGCAGUGAAGUGGAUAUUGAGAUAUCUACAGGGUACUAUUGAUAAAUGUUUGUGUUUUAAAAGAGGUGAGUUGGCACUACAAGGUUUUGUAGAUGCAGAUUUUGCUGGCGAGGUCGAUCACAGGAAAAGCACCACCGGUUAUGUAUUCACAGUUGGUACUACUGCAGUGAGUUGGGUUUCGCAAAAACAAAAAAUUUUUGCUUUAUCCACUACAUAAGCAGAGUACGUGGCAGUAACCGAAGCUAGCAAAGAAAUGAUUUGGUUACAAGGUCUGUUGACAGAAUUUGGUCUCAAGCAAGAAAAGAAUGUUUUGUACAGUGACAGUCAGAGUGCUAUACAUCUGGCAAAGAAUGUAGCAUUUCAUAUCACUUCAUCAGAUUUCUCUUAGAGGAUGGAGUAUUAACACUGGAAAAGAUCCAGGGCAGUAGAAACCCAGCUGACAUGUUAACCAAGACGGUAACUACGGAAAAACUGGAGUUGUGUUCAGCUUCAGUUGGCCUUCUAAAAUGAAGACGAGGAAGGUGAUCCACACCAAUUUUACUAAAAAGGAACUGCUCGCAGGAUGUCUCAAGGUGAAGCCACAUUAGUCUCCAAGUGGGAGAUUGUUGAAAUUUUGGAGCCUACAUUUUAGGCUUCACAAUUUCUUUCAUGUGUGUCAGACACAUUUUUCAAAAGUUGUAGCAAAUGUUGAAAAAAAAGGAAUGUGCAUGGAAACUCUUGCUAACAACAGCCGUAUUUUUGGAAGAAAUUUUUGCCAUGCAUUUAAUGCAAGGCAACUUUGUUGAAAAAUUGAUGGACAUGCAUUUAAUGAGGAAGGUGAGAAUUUUACUAUAAAUACGAGGUCAAAGCAGAAGCAAAAGAUAUGAGUGAAAAGAGAAGUGCAAGAAAAGUGUUGAGUGAAAACACGAGAGUGAGCAAAGCACAAAAGUGAGAAGCAGUUAGGCUUCAGUUUGUGCAGAAAAUUAACGAGAGAAAAAUUGAGAGAUUGUCUUUGUAUAGGCAAAUAAAAUACAGAGAGUAUAUUUGUUAUAUCCAUUUUCUUCUCUUGUUGAUAUAGUAAAAGAAUUGGUGUGGGUUUGUGGACGUAGGCACGAUUGCCGAACCACAUAAAUUCUUGUGUCAUUUGCACUUAUUAUUUUUUGCUACAUUUAUUUCUUCUCAGUUCAAAUUAUUUUGUGUCCCACUGAUCCUGGCGGAAUUAGUAACGGUCUAAUUUCCUAACAGCCUAAAUGUUCUUGCACUAGAAAAACAUCUCAGUUCUUUGUGACGAUCUCUUGAACUUUAUUGACUUUCUUGCGAAGAAAAAUUCUGGAAGGCAUUCGUUAUUAAAAACCAAUGCCUACCAGUGUGAAACGGUUGUUCUGAUUUUGACUGCAUCCUUCGGCCUUUGACAUUGGCGGCUGAGUAGUGACUACUGACUAAUCUACCAGAGCAUGAAUCUGAAUGGAUUACCGACUAAAACAAGUAUUUAAGGAAUUGAUUUUACUCUUGCUUUUUUGGGUAUCUCCGCAAACUUUGCUUUCUUAUGCCUCUAUCUCUACUUCCUGUCUUAGGAGGCUUUUUUACGAUUUUUUAUUUUUAUUUUUUGCAGCUGAUCAUUGAAAGACAAUGGAAGGAGUUUCUAGAUUAUAAUGACACAAUUGGGGUUCAUAUUUCAUGUAAGGAUUCCCCUUUUUUCACAUGGCCUGAUUUUUUUGCUUUGUUUGAUGAAUCUAUAAAUCAUUUAUAAAGCGGUUGAACUUCAUCUUCAACCACAUUCCAAUGGUCCACAAGUAUCCAUUUAUUCACCACUCAUUCCUAUCUAUUUAUAAAUUAAACUGUUUAUAAAUUCUUUCCAAACGGAGGAAUAGAUUACAAGCUGAUGAAGCGCAUUUGAAGUGUUGUGAAAAUUGCAUGGGUUACCCCUUCCCUUCCUAAGUCCUAACCCAACCCAACCCAGCCCGUCAAUCCCUCACUCCGCAUCUUCCUCCACCAUCCCCAGCCUGUCCUCCCAUCUUUCUCUACUGUCAAUAAAAUUUCUCUGUGUGCACGUAUGAGGAGGAAAGGGAAAAGGGGAAAAAAUAGUCAUUUCUUGGACAUUCCUUUUAAUUAUCACCAGUUUACUUAUAGAGAGCUGAAAUACAUGGUGCUUGUGAACUGGUAUGUUAAGUGUGAGUACAGUUUAAGUGAUUGAAUAAUAGUAUGGUGAAUGAAAUUGGAGGCAAGCAUUCAUGAUUUUCUUUUAAAAGUGGUUGUGCCAAAUAGAAUAUGUAAUUUUGAAUCUCAUAUGUAUGUAGAAAUUCAAAUAUGAAUUAUUCUUCAACAUUAAAAAUGAUAUUUACUCAUAUUUAAUAUCUUUUGGUAAUUUAUUUUAUUUAUAGCUUAUAAGGAUAUAUCUUCAUGUUUAUCAGCAUAUUAAUUCAUAUCCAAAAACUGUUUUUUAGUCAAGAAAGCUCCUACUGCAUGUAAGCACUAAAAUGUGUUCAUUAUCACCUAUUUAAUUUAGCUUAAUCCAAACAAUACCUUACCCUGGGCUUCAGUAGCUGACCGGCUGUUGUAAUGCAGGACGAUGCCAGGAAGCUUGACAAAACUGCCAAAAAUCGCUACUCAGUGUAGCUUCACGAUUAAAGAUAAAAAGAAAUGGUUGAUGCCACCGUAGUGUCACGACCCGCUCGAUCUUGGCACAAGAAGAUCGAGAAAUUUAAAAUGUUGACGAGUUGGGGCUAACCGGAAUAUUCUAGACUCCCACAAGUGCAUGAAGAUUGCUAGAAUAUGGUGGGACAUUCUAGAAGCCUACAAGCCCCUCACUUGGUAGAUUAUUCUAGAUCAUCCUAGUUUAGUCCAUAGAUAUUUUAAUGUAGAUAUUUGUAUAGAUAAUUCUAGAUGUGUAAUCUAGACCGUUGGAUAGAAAAGAUCCUAGCCAUCCAUUUGAGGAGGCUACCACUAUAAAUAGCUUGGUAGGAUUCAUUUGAAGGAUCAAGAGAGUGAAAUUGUAAAGAGUAUUUUUUAUUCAAUACAAAGCCUUCUUUGUAAGCUCUUGUGUUUCUUCAUUGUCCCUUUCUUAAAGUGUUCUACUUAGUGCCUUUCUAAAACAUCAACGCCAAUCGGGAGGCUGACUUAGUGUAAUAACCGCGGGGGCGGAAGUUGAAGACACUAAGGCCGCACGGUUCUUGAAGGAAAUUAGCAAGUCCGUGACAGUUGGUAUCAGAGCCUAGGUUUGCUCACUUACUAUCGUUGGCAUGGCGGAAAAAGAUGUUGUGGGAUCCGGCAUUUCGAAAGUAGGAAAGACGUGACGAUUUUGGGUCGAGGACGGCUUACUCUACACUACGGGGUAGCGUAUCUAUGUUCCUAAGUGGAACAAUUUGCGGCGAGAUAUCAUCAAGGAGUGUCAUGACACAAAGUGGGCUGGUCAUCCAAGGCAGAAACACACAUUGGCACUACUUGAACGAGCUUACUAUUGGCCGCAAAUGAAAGACAUGGUGGAGCUCUAUGUAAAGACUUGUCUUGUGUGCCAACAAGACAAGGUGGAAACAAGGUCACCAGCGGGUUUGUUGGAGCCUCUACCAGUCCCGGAGCGUCCAUGGGACUCUAUCACCAUGGACUUCAUUAGUGCCCUGCCUAAAUUCGAAGGGUUCGGGUCAAUAAUGGUGGUGGUUGAUCGAUUCUCCAAGUAUGGCACCUUCAUUCCUGUCACCAAGGAUUGCACAGCGGAGGAAGCCGCAAGGCUAUUCUUCAAGAAUGUUGUGAAGUAUUGGGGGUUACCGCGGAGCAUAAUAAGUGAUCGUGAUCCCCAAUUCACGGGUCGGCUAUGGACGGAGUUGUUCAAACUCCUAGGCUCGGACCUACACUUCUCUACAAGCUUUCACCCUCAGACGGAUGGACAAACAGAAAGGGUGAAUGCUUUGUUGGAGUGCUAUCUCCGGCACUUUGUAAGUGCCAAUCAAAGAGAUUGGGCCAAGCUCCUGGAUAUUGCACAAUUUUCCUACAAUUUACAAAGGAGUGAAGCCACGGGGCGGAGCCCAUUCGAGUUGGUGACAGGACAACAACCACUAACACCCUACACUUUGUCCACUUCUAUUGAAGGAGGGAAAAACCCCGGAGCAUACAAAAUGGCUAAGUCAUGGGAAGAGCAUGCCGACUUAGCACGAUCUUGUUUAAACAAAGCCCAGAGGCGCAUGAAGAAGUGGGCCGAUAAGAAGAGACGGCCUUUGGAAUUUAAAGUUGGCGAUCAAGUCCUUGUGAAAAUAUUACCUCAACAAUUCAAGGCGUACCGAAGUGUACACAAAGGCUUGGUACGGAGAUAUGAAGGGCCGUUCCCGGUGANNNNNNNNNNNNNNNNNNNNNNNNNNNNNNNNNNNNNNNNNNNNNNNNNNNNNNNNNNNNNNNNNNNNNNNNNNNNNNNNNNNNNNNNNNNNNNNNNNNNNNNNNNNNNNNNNNNNNNNNNNNNNNNNNNNNNNNNNNNNNNNNNNNNNNNNNNNNNNNNNNNNNNNNNNNNNNNNNNNNNNNNNNNNNNNNNNNNNNNNNNNNNNNNNNNNNNNNNNNNNNNNNNNNNNNNNNNNNNNNNNNNNNNNNNNNNNNNNNNNNNNNNNNNNNNNNNNNNNNNNNNNNNNNNNNNNNNNNNNNNNNNNNNNNNNNNNNNNNNNNNNNNNNNNNNNNNNNNNNUAGAUAUUUUAAUGUAGAUAUUUGUAUAGAUAAUUCUAGAUGUGUAAUCUAGACCGUUGGAUAGAAAAGAUCCUAGCCAUCCAUUUGAGGAGGCUACCACUAUAAAUAGCUUGGUAGGAUUCAUUUGAAGGAUCAAGAGAGUGAAAUUGUAAAGAGUAUUCUUUAUUCAAUACAAAGCCUUCUUUGUAAGCUCUUGUGUUCCUUCAUUGUCCCUUUCUUAAAGUGUUCUACUUAGUGCCUUUCUAAAACAUCAACGCCAAUCGGGAGGCUGGCUUAGUGUAAUAACCGCGGGGGCGGAAGUUGAAGACACUAAGGCCGCACGGUUCUUGAAGGAAAUUAGGAAGUCCGUAACAGUAGGCUAUCCUGUCACCAGUGGCUGGCUUUCAUUUUGUCUUAUUUAGUACGGAGAACAUUUCUGAGGAUUCCAUAUAUGGACUUUUUUGCCGAAAUCUGAUACUUACUGUUACUGAUUGAUUACCUCUUUGUAACAGCCAUUCAGUAUGAUCCAGUUCGGAUAUGGCCGUUCAGUAACAUGGUACCAGAUUUUGUGAAAAGUGUUUUUUUUUUUUUGGAGAAUUUGUGGUCCAUGUCUAAAAUUAUUUUAUUGAAAGAGUAUGUGAUUGAAAAAAAAAAAAAAAGAGUACAUGGGCCGAUAUUAUUCAAUGUGGAUAUUAUAUUAUAUUUUCAUUCUUCCUUCUUCAAACCUACAUAAUCUAUAAAAAUAAGAGGGAUGGAAAACAAUAAUGAGUUUGUAAUGACUAUUGUCAUUCAACAAUCAAAGCGUGGAUCUUAUCUAGGAUUAAUGGCUAUUCAACAAGAUAUACGUAUUAAAGGCCAUGUCUAAAAAUUAUAUAUGCACUAGUUUAAGCUUUUCUGGUCCAUUUGAUUGUAAAUGUGGAAAAAGACAAAAUCAAUUCCAUGUAAGUUGAAAAAGAAAAAACUACCAAAACUAUAGGAAUUUGAGUUCCAUUCAAUUGGUCAAAAACAUGUUUUAAGUGUUUGUACCUUGAAAUUUGAACCCCUUUUCUACUUUCAUAUCAAACAAACAAAGUAGAAAACGAAUUCCUCAGAUGCAACAUUUUUCAUGGAAUUCAAUGCUAUCAAACAGACCCUUAGAUUAUUGUCGAAAAGUAUUGAGGGAGAAGCUACACUUUCGUGAUGAAAUAAUUUAUUAUUAGUUUAUUAGUUUAGUACAUUGAUUCACUCUUAGAUAAGCUUGCGCACGAUUUGGUUUGGGUUGGUUUCGACUCCAACUCGAAACCAAAAUCAAAUUAGUCGGUUUUGAUGAAUCUCAAUCAAAUCAAUCCACUCUAACUCUUAAAUCAAAUGGAACCAAACCAAAUCGGCUCAAUUUGAUUCGGUUAGUGGGUUUUAACUUUUAGUCCAAAAUGAUUUUUUUUUUUUUUAAAUUUCAAAAAUGUCUAAGUUUUGUGCCUGCUUAGAUUAAAAGAACUAAUAUAAGUUUAUAUAAUAAAAAUUAUUGACUAAUAAAUAAAAUUAGGUUAAUAGAGAUGGAUCAACUGAAAACUUAAUAAUUUUACUUAUUUAUUUAUUUAUUUAUUUAAUACAUUAUUUAACCUGAUUGCCCCGAGUAGGAAAAAAUGGCUAAGUAUAACAUAAUGAGCAUAUGAAAAGAAAUUCUUAGUGUUUUUAGUUAUCAACAACAUUAUAGAUUGGAAGGAAUUGAAAUAUGUUAAAAGAUUAUGACUUAUCUUUUGAUUUUUAUUUUUCUUUACAUAAAAUGGUAAAUAUUAAAUGGGUUGGGUUGGUUCGAUUAACCAGCGGUUUGAGGCUAAAAAUGAUAACCGAAUUGAUUUACCAUGAUUUGUAAAUCAAAUCAAACCAAAUACCUAUGAGAAACUGACACGAACCAUUGGUUCGAGUCGGUUCGAUUUGAUUGGUUUGAUCGAUUUUUUUUUUUUUUUUUUUUUUUUUUUUUUUUUUUUGGGUGUCCAGGCUAGCUCUUUGACAAGAUAUGUAAUAAAAUUAAGCUAUUUGCUUUUGCUCGUAACUAAUUUGUAAGUAAUCGAAGGCUCUGAUAGCGUAGACAAUAGGGAACUCAAAUUCUUAUGGUUUUCUGAGUGUUUCAUGUCGUUUUCGAAUAUUAGACUAUUCUCCAUUUUGGGAUUUGCUUGUCAAAACCUUUUUUUCAAGAUUGCAACUUUUUUUGUCAAUUAAUUAGAUUAUACUUGUGGAACUCAAAUAGCAUUUUCCUAACACGCUUUCUAUUCUUCGAAAUUGAUAUAAGAUUUACCUUUAUGUUAUUGACAAAAGUUUGAGCAGAAAAUUGUGGGUUUGCUACUAGCCACGUAUUUGUAUAUAAAUUGAACAUUCCUGUUACAUAAAUAAUUAUACGCGGUCGCAUUCAGACGAUUUGGGUAACACACGUGGCUUUGCUGUCAAAUAUUUUAACCUUUGUCGCCAAGGUUCAAAUCAUCGUUACGCAUUGGUUCAUGAUAAUAUUAAUUUUAUUUCUAUUUGAUAUGUGUAGUACUUGUUAAUAAGACAAUCCAACAUUAACCUAAUCUAGUAUUCCUUUUAUUCUCCAACUUGGAAUUUCGUAAAAUGUACACCAAUCUAACUACAAAUAAUCAAACAAGAAAAUAUAAUUUUUUCAUACAAAAUUUAAAUAACAACCCAUUAAAUACUUUUCUUUAUCAAAUUCUAAAUCUUCAUUUCUUUUUCUGAAGAGGGAAAUAAUUUUACAUCUCUGAUAAGAACUAAUGACAAAUGUGGUCGACUUGAAUAAGAUCAAGAGAAUUAAAAUUUAAGUGUCCCCCNNNNNNNNNNNNNNNNNUUUUUUUAACUAUUUGUUUUUUUUUUCCUUCCCCUUAACAUCAUCAAGUCUUAUCUUAUUCAGCUUACCAAAUAAGCCAGAAGUCUAAAGGAAUUUGAAAAGGGCUUUGCAAAUAUUAAUUAAUUUCAUUUCUGGGUUAUGUUUCAAGAAAUCCAGUCAUUUUGAGAAUUGAAUUCCUGACUUCACUCAAAUUUCUGCCCUUAAGAGUCCUUCCAUUUCCGGUGCAGACGGAGAACGCCAUCAUUUUCUCGGCGACCCGCUGGCUAACGAUAACGUGGGGUGGUACCAUUUCUCCACCGUCGUUUUCGUCAUCGAAAAUUUCCGAAUCUACAUACUGAACCGUCCAUAAACUUCCAGUUAUGUUUGCUGGGAUAUUUACCGGAACUGAAUUCUUCUUGGUCUUGAAUUUCUUCCUCUUGGUUUUGAUAUUUCUUCACGGAAAAUUGUACUCCUCGUUGCCAUCUUCAUCUCCGGCAUAGUCUUGAAAAAUAACUUCAGAUUCUUGAAAUACUUCUGCCAUGGAAAAUGAGAGAAAAGUACGAAUUAAAAUGGUAUUUAGGAAUUGGUAAAGGGUGGGAAAUGCAAGGAAAUUUAUAGAGGGCGAAAAUGAUUGAUUAGAGGAAGAGAGUUUGAUUGGGGGUGGUGAAGUGGCGUCAUUGUAAAGGGCGUUGAGUGCGGACCCAACUUUCUGCGUCUAUGUUUUAUGUGUUUUUCUCACUCUUGAAGUAACUCCAAAAUAAGCUUUCCAAAGACUAAGAUGCUGUUACUUGUGCCUCACGGCUCUGUUCUGCCUAUUAUUUUUGCUUGGCCUGUAAUUUGUGCAGUUUAAUGACUCCAUUCGUUGGUCUUUAGUUUCGAUUAGCUUAAGAUUAAAAACAAGGACAACUCUACACGAAUUUUUUUAUCGAAUCUUUUACCUACUACUCAUAACGAGGUGGGGAUCACAUGUCAACAUUUUUUAUUUCACGCAGAGCCUACAUUCGAUACAUAUGGAAUAAUCCCAAAAACAAUAUUCUUUAAAUUUUAAUAGGUCAAUAUUUACUUUUAGUUAGUGAACUUCAUAAUAUUUACUUUGUUAAUCUUUGAAAUCCAAACUAAAUACAUUCAAACUAAAUAUGAAAAUGAUUUAUCAUACUUAUGAUAUGUUUAUGUAUCACCUAAUUAUGUACUGAAAUCGAUUUCAAGGUAAAGCAAUAUAAGCAAACAGUAUGAUAAUUCAGUAACGUUGUUAGUUCUAAGGACAAAAUCAUUUUCAAGAAUUAAUAUUAUAAGCAUUAUAAAGUUUACGAUAGAUAUUUAACAUUAUAAAAUUUAGUUGUCAUUUUGAUGUAUGCUUCUAAAUUCACGUAAAAUUUAUUCUUUAUUAUUAUGCGAAUAUAUAAAAUCUUAUACAUAGAUUAACGAAAUCUCUUUUCUCUAAACAGAAUAAAAAAAAAAAAAAUACAUUCGAUCUCCACAAGAAGAUAAAAUAGAAGACGUUAAUCGAAAAAUGAAAUAAAUAAAAGUAAUAAAAAAAAUAAAAUAAGAAACAUCACAAUGUUCCAUAAAAAAAUGAAUAAAGUUGUUUGUACAAAUAAAAAUUAUGGGAAGCAUUAUUGGUGAUGAGAUUACAACACUGCAGUGAUUGAUUUAACUUUAUUUUGUAUUCAACAUUCAAUAAAUACUUGCUAACUGACAAUAUGUAAAAAACUUUGAACUAUGCUGGACGAAUAGGGUCACGCCAGGGAGUUUAAUUGGCGCCCCCUCCCCCCUCCAAUAAGGGGGCGCCAAUUAGAUGUCCAUAGGCCUUCUCUAAGAAAAUUUAUUGAAGGAUUUUUGUACAUAUAUGAAAAAUUUGUCGCUACCAAUGAGAGGUUUGUUCGCCUUGUCCAAGAAGAUUUAUUGAAAGAUUUUUGUACAUAUAUGAAACGUGGCCUUGACCGUCCAGGGCGUUUAAUUGGCGCCCGAUGUCCAUAGACCUUGUUCAAAAAAAAUUAUUGAAAGAUUUUUGUACAUGCACGAAAUUUUUUUUUCUACCAAUUAGACGUCCGUUUGCCCUGUCCAAGAGAUUUAUUGAAAGAUUUUUGUACGUAUAUGAAAAAAUUGUCGCUAGUCAAAAGAAGGUGAAAAGAAGGAAUAAAGACUACCUUUACCACAAAAGGACAAACUCAUUAUUUUAAAACACUGAAUGGACCCACUUUUAUGAGAAAUUCAGUAUUUUAUACUAAAAAAUGGAGCUCAGCCGAUCCAAAUCCAUUUUUUUUUUUAUAUACAGGUAUCCCAGCUUACAUCAGACUAAAUUCUGGACCUCCAAAACCCUUGCCUCUAAAAUCUUGGAGGGGGUAAAUCGCGGGUUAUGCCUCAACUGGAUUACAGGUUCCCCCCAUUACCUGUACACUUUUGCGCACAAGAAACCCUCCUUCACAGUGAUUGCUCCAUACCAAAUAUUUGGCCACAGGUUCCCACCAGGAAUCGAACUCUCCACCCUGCCGCUGGACACAAGACAAUGUUGAUUGAUCCACCAGUUGAGCUGUGCCCCGAGGGGCAAUCCAAAUCCAUUUUUGAGUGUACCUUAAGUUUCAAAAGCUGUAUUCUGGCAAAUUAGUAGACAUGGGCGGAUCAGUCGUAAGUUAAAAGCGUUCGCGCAGCUCGGCACAUCCGACGGCUCAUAUUUCACCCCAAAGAAUUCAAGGUCCACCGAGUUAUCGAUAUACAGGUAUGCCAAAAAAAAAAGGUUGAAAAAAUGACAAGCCACUUAUAAAUUGACACGUUACAUUUGUGAAAUCAUACGCUCUACAAAGAAAGGCAUCUGGAUUAUUCUCAGCCAGACGGCUUCCUCGCCGUUUUAAGUAGAGAUAAAAGUGUUCAAUUAGGCUGCAAGGAAACAAAAGGAAGUACAUCUUUGGCUAGCUUUAAAAUUUUAGUUUCGAGCAAGUUUAGGGUUGGCAACGGUUCGGUUAUGGGUCGUUCAGCCAAAAUCAUAACCGCACCAUCAAUUUUUUGACCAUACCAUAACCGCACCAUAACCACGUAAAUCGGUUCGGUUCGUAUCUCCGUUCGGCACGGUUCGGUUCGACUAUUAACCACGAAAAUAAAUUAUUUUUUAUAGAUUCAUCCGUCAAAUUGAUAUAAAAUAAUUUAUGAAAAAAGUCAAUGAAAACAAAAACACAGUAUUUCAGAUGAAAAUGCAAACAUUAUCAAACAAUAUUCCAAACGAAAAUACAAAACAUUAUCCCAAUUUUCAAUUGUAAAAUACAAAUUUAACAAACAAUAUUAUAAAUAUAAUAAUACUAAACUUUUCCUUUAUUCUUAAUUGUUGUGCAUUGAAGUUACUUGAUUCAUUCUUCUCCACAAGUCUUACUAGCAUAGAUCAGCACUCAAAGUUGAUUCCUAUAUAGUAAAUAAGAAAUGUAAGUAGAGAAUAUAACGAUACUACCUAUUCAGAAUAUUCUUAACUAAUAUUUAAAAAAAUGUAUAUCUUCAUCAACUUCCUUCUCACUAAACGUUGUACAAACUCUAAAGUAUGAUGAAAAAGUAUAAUUUUCUACACAUAAUAGAAAAAAGUUAAUAAUAAAAUGAGCCGUGCGUGAGUUUAUGGUUUGUGGAGAGUAGUGUUUGCAUUUAUAUACUGUCAUACUAAUACUAAUAUUAUGGGCUAAUGGUAAGUGGACUGGUCGGCUGAGUCAGGUAGAUGUAAUGGAGGGGAUUUUGUUUUGAGCUAAAUAGAAAAGUAGUGUAAAAUCUAAUAAUCAAAUCAAUUCAAUUCAAUUGUGUGUGUGAGUGUAUUUUUUUUUUUUUUUAGUGGGCAAUCGAUUCGGUUUCGGUUCGACGGCAUAAGGACCAUACUCACUCCGCCAUGAACCGGUUUAUUAAAAUCAAAACCAUACUCGAUUGCACCACCAAUUGCACCACCAAUUCGAUUUUUUUCGCUCCAUUCGGUUCGGUUAACCGCAAUUUUCGAUUUUGAUGGAUCAAACUGCCAUCCCUAAGCAAGUUUAGUCAUAAGUAAUUAAAUAGUUAAAGAUAUUUUUUAUUAACCAAAGUUCGAAAUAAUCGAUUACUUAUUUUUAACAUGACUCUUAUAUGUUUUAUGGAGAUAUCAAAAGGUGCUGAAUUGGCCAAAUGACUUAGUAGGGGCUUGGUAUAGUCCAAUACAAAAUAUGCAAAAUAAGAAUACAUACUCGUAGAUUAGGCACAAUCUUAUCCAUUUUAGAUGCGUCAAUCAUAUAUAAUUUAAAAUGAGCAAGGCAAAACAUAGUCGUGUCAGGCCUACGCUAGUCAAACCAUCUCAAAACUAAACCGUAACUUGUUAGUUUAGAAUAUAUAAACGUGCAACACUUGAUUGAGUAUAACUUUACUUAUUUGUCUUUUGAAGAAAAUGACAAACAAAGCUUGGCGGUCAAUUUCUUCCUGAAGCUUACCCAUUUUUGCAUUAAUCUUAGUGGACAUUUAUAUUCUCCACAUUCUAUUUAUAUAGAUUUGUUUUAUUUUUCAUACGAAUUAAGAAAUUUUAUUAAUGUUACUGAAAGGAUAAUUUUUGUCAAAAUUUUUUCUAAUUUACCAUUAUUUAUAUUUGUACAAUUUCAAGAUUAAAUAAAAAAAAAUUGAUUAUAACUUGACAAAUUACAUAUAUUAAUAAACAAAUAAAACAAAAAAUUCUCAAUAAUGAAACAAGACUAUAUAAUUGAGACAAAAAAAUAUGAAAAGUCAGCUUAUAUGAGAUGGAGGGAAUAAAAUAUUCUAUUGAGGAUAAUGACCUUAACCUCAUCCACUUGGUUACUUUCCUUAAUUAACUACACUAUAAUAUUUAGGUAUUUGGUGUUUANNNNNNNNNNNNNNNNNNNNNNNNNNNNNNNNNNNNNNNNNNNNNNNNNNNNNNNNNNNNNNNNNNNNNNNNNNNNNNNNNNNNNNNNNNNNNNNNNNNNNNNNNNNNNNNNNNNNNNNNNNNNNNNNNNNNNNNNNNNNNNNNNNNNNNNNNNNNNNNNNNNNAAUUUUAUUUUCAAUCAUAAAUUUCAAUAGACCUGUAAGUAUUAUCUACUUAUCCACAACUCAUACUAAAUAUAUAAUAAGUAAAAUUGAAGAUACGACGAAUGACUACUCUAAUUAUUAAGCAAAAUUAUUUUUGAGGCGAACAAGAAAUUACGUUCCAAGUAAAUCAAUUACUAACUACAAGUAUGAACGUGAAAAUUUAUGGUGGCAAUAUGAUAUCAGAUAUUCAAAAGAAAUUUUAGCACUUCUUUGGUAGAGUAUUCAGUACUCUCUUUGUCAUCGUUAAACUUACUUUCAUAUUAAGCCCUUGUUUAGGCCCAUUUUAAUACAAAUUUGGGGAAAAAUGAGUUUUGAAUAAUGAUUUUUUUGGAGAAUGUGUGGUUAAAAAAAUAAAGAAAAGCUUUUGAUUUAUAUGUAAUAUUGCUUUAUAAAAGAAUGUGUGGUUGCAAAAUGAAUUUUGAAAAAAACGAAUUUUUGAAAAAAAGGUCGAACAUAGGUUAAUUAACUUGAAUACACUAUUUAAUUAGGAUUCAAUCAUGCACAUAUCCAUUAAAUAGUGACAUGAAUUACUGAAUUUCACACUCUAGAAUAUUAAAUUUUUUCUCCAAUAUACUGAGUUGGAAGAGGAAGAGUAGGACUUGGGACUAACCUAGGUAUGGGCUUGGGCCUCCUCUCAAGUCUUGGUUUAAUAAGAAUAUUAUUUUUGGAGAGAACAAUUAAUCAACUUUGAGUAAUGUUAUUUAUAAGUUGUACUCAGAGCCAACCGUUUGUGUGACAGUUUUGUCAUUGUCAAAUUAUUCAAUAAAAAUAUAUUGAAACUUUAUUAGAAAAUGUGACAGUGAUGUAUAAACAACUUACAAAUAAUAUUUUCUAAUGAGGAUUUGACUUGGAAACAUAAUCUUCCAAUAAUGUGUCAAUUGCCAGCAUGUGGCACAAUAACGUAACACAUGGUUAAGUAAAUUCGUCCGGUGUUAAACUACAAGAUAUGUACAUAUUCCUUUUCGAAAGUACGUCUUUAAAUAAAUAUUUUUUUUUGUUAAUAAUCACGGUCUCUCGAAUAGGGCAUGCCCCUUUCAACUAGCAUGUUUCUGUUGAAUAGUGAUGGUCACUGUUCAUGAAUAGUGGAUACUAAUCGGUAGAAAGUUUUCCAUUCGCAUUUAAUGCAGAGGUUAUCAUGCAUGGUUUUCUUCUCAAAUUUCAAAUGCAAUUGGGAAUGGCAUUAAAGUCACUGAAUGGAUAUACGUGAAUAGCAUUGUGCAGCGAGUUAAGCGGGACAAAAUUGAGAGAUUAUCUCUGCGUGGCAAAUAAAAUACACAGAAUGUAUUUUUGUAUUGCUCUUCUUCUCUUGUUGAUAUAGUGAAAAAUUUGUGUGAGUUUGUGGACGUAGGCACGAUUGUCGAACCAUGUAAAUUAUUGUGUCAUACUUGCAUUUAUUUUUGUUAUCUUCAUUUGCUCUUAUUUUAAAUUAUUUUGCGUCCCACUGAUCUUGACAGAGUUAGUAGCUUUACACUUUCCACCACUAUAAUAGAAUCCUCUUUGCAAAAUUUUUAAUCGAGUUGUUCGGCUAACUUUUGAGUUCUAGAAAUGAUUGUACUAAUACGUGAGAUUAUCGCUUAAAGUCUAAAAGCACAUUUUCUCAGUUCCAUACUCGUUGGAAGGUGCAGGACAAGUACAUAAUACAUAAUUAACAACUUUAUUAUUGGCAUGAAGCAAAACACAAUGGAGAAAAAAAAACAUUGAACUCCAACCUUGAGAGUCUCCACCGCCCCGCCCCUAGAGUUUUAUGAGGGAGGUAAAUUACGGGAUGUGCCCAAGCAGGCAAGGGAACAAGAGCUGCCUGUACACUGCGUCUACAGAGAGUUUAAUUCCAUGUCUCAAGAAUCGAACCCUUACACUGCGACUGCUAACAAGGCGUGAGAUAAUCUCACUCCUAUCCUUUGCACGAUUGAGCUAUGCCCCGGGGGGCAAAAAGAAAAGAAAAGAAAAAACACAACAGAGAAUUCACACUUAAUAUUGAUUGAGUAAGGUCUAUGUCUAAUUCUUUUAGGACACGUUUGCGCCUAAUAUUGGACAAGCCAGUACAAUGAAUAAGAUUUUAUUUAUUUUUUCUUAAUAUUUUACAGUAUUUUCUUGUUCACCCAAUACCGUGAGGUAUUUACUCUAAGGAUAAUGCAAUUGGACUUCUUUAUGAAUCAAUUCGCUCCAACUAUAACAACCAAAUGCAAACUUAUUUUCCCGCAUAGGCUUCUUCCCUACAACCGUUAUGUUGAAGCCUCUACUUUUCCGCUUUAGCGUUGAAGUGUAACGUGGGUGGAGAUAUUUCUAUGGAGUAACCAGGAUGUUUUUUAAUUGUAACCAAGUAUGAAGACUUACUACCAACAUUUGUAACAGUUCGAGUGACAAUCAUGGAUACUUUAAGCUUAGGCACUUCGCAAUUGCUAGUGAUAGAUAGUUGAGAUUACUCGGCGAAGGAAUAACAUUGGGACAUUUGAAAGAUGGAACGAGCAAAUUACAGCUAUUAGGACAGAGGAAGAGAUGAUAGUCAGUAUAAGAAGCAUUAUAAACAAUUCCUGAAUCAACUGCCUUUGAAGGCUGAAUGUGGCCCACGUUAUUAUGUAAAAGAAUAAAAUCUCAUAUCGAAUAAAAAUAAAAAUUUAGACUAACUUAUAAGAAUUUGGGAUAAAGUGUUUUUUUUUUCUUUUUCCAAAUAAAAUUUUCGUUUAAUGGCCCCUGAAUAUUUUGAGUAUUCUUAAAGAAAUUUUUUCUUGCUACUUAGGUAACAGGCAUCUCUGCUAUAAGCCGGCCCGCAGUCGAAGCGAAAAUAUUCCAAACGAACGACAUUUAUUGAAAUCUAAUUCGGGUGACAAUAGAUGAUUUUCUUCUCCUUGACCAUAUAAACAUUUCAUAUUUGAUGGUUCUUUGUGUUGUGAAUCGAUGGUGAUAUACGCUGAUGUGUUGUUUUGGAUGAAACUUGUGUUAGUUUUUGCUAGGAUUUUAUUUCAUUUCUCUUGAAUAUUUACGAAAAUGCAAGAAGACAUUUUCAAGGCCGGAAAGAAAGAACGCCACUUUAUGGAAUAAAUAAAAGAGAUUCUGCUGGGAGGAUGAUUGAAUUUUUAUAAUUGCAUUCUUUGCAUCAUGACGCCUAAAUAAAGAUAUACGUAAUUGCUCGCUUCACAAAGCAAAUUGAAACGGGUAGAUAUCUGGACUUCCAAAUGAAAAAGAGACAGUUUAUGGUUCACUGGAUAAAUUGAUGGCUUGUGAUACUACAUGACUGCCGGCAAGCACAAAUGGCAAGAUAAACGCAUGAUGUGAUCUGGAUAGAAAGCGAGUGAUUGAAGUAUGAGUUUUGCUCGAAUUCUCGUCCAGACAUUUUUGUUGAAAGUGGACCGACAACAAGAAGCUGAAACAUUAAAAAUUCUAAAUUUUUUUUUCUCCAACUAUGUGGGCUAGUAAUGAAAUCCACAGUGUUCAUAUCUGUAGAAGCAUAUCACUUUUUUAUGACUUGUCCAAAAGGUCCCAUUAAGAAAUUUACAAGUCAAUUUCCUUCUUACUACUGCUACUACUAUUACUACGUGCCUUUGUAAUACAUUUUAAUUAUUUAAUUAGUAAUGAUUGAAGAAAUGAAUUAAAAUAAAAGCACUUAAAAAGUUUUAAAAUAUAACAAAAACGAUUAUUUAAAGUUAAAACGAAAAUGUCACAACAACCAUAUACACACAUCAUUCUACAAUUAUUUAAGGAAAACAUUACAUAAAACAAGUGAAUACAAUGUUUUCAUUAAUUUAAUGUAAUUUAUGCAGUUGUAAAAUAAAUGAAUAAAUAAUUUUUCAGGUAAAUAAAUUGUUGAGAAUUAAAAAAAAAUGAAGAAAAUAGUUAAAUACUUUUUAUUUGGUGUAAGAUUUGAUGUAAUGGAUUGGAGAUGAAUUUUAUUUUGGUACAAGAUUUUGGGCAAAAUAGUGCAAAACUCACCUUAAAUUUUGAUUUAGGGUUGGAGAUGGCUUAAGAACUUCAACAAUUAGAACAAAAAUAGAGGGCCUCAAGAAGAAAAAUAAGCACUUUAUACCUCGUAUGCAUUGACUGUGGUGUUUAGUAUAGAUAGUUGGUGAUUGACCAGAAUAAGAUAAAAUGACAAUCGGUGAUUGAAAAUGAGAUAUUUAAUAUUUAUUAGAAAGUUGUGAGAUAAUUUAAUGAAAACUUGAACAUGUUUUUAAAUUUAAAGGUUUGAGAAUUCAUUUAUUCUUUUUUGAAAGUUAAAGACUGACCAAGGAACUUCAACAAUUAGAACAAUAAUAGCAUACCCCCACAAAGAAAAAUAAGUACUUUAUACCUCAUAUACGUUAAAUUUGGUGUUCAGCAUGAACAAUUGGUGAUUGAACAAAAUAACAUAAAAUGACAAUUGACGAUUGAACAAAAUAGCAAAAAAUGAGAAUUGGUAAUUGGAAAUCAAACAUAUUUCUAAGAAAGUUGUGGAAUAACUUAACGAAAACUUGAAUUUAUAUUGAACGUCAAGAGUUCAUUUAUUCUUUUUUGAAAGUUAAAGACACACUAAGAACUUCAAAAAUUACUGAAAAACAAUAAUAGCGGACCCAGGAAGAAAAACUAGCACUGUAUACUUCGUAUACAUUGAUUUUGGUGUUCGGUAUGGACAAUUGAUGAUUGAAUAGAAUAUGAUAAAAUGACAAAUGGUCAAAGGGAAGAAAAAGGCCAUUUGAAAGCGGGCAGUGCUACAUGAACAGGGCCACAUAGCCCUAUUUUUUCAGGGUUUGUGGCCUUUUUUGAGAAGAUUUAUCCUUUGAAAGGCCUGUUAGAGAAGAUUUAUUCUUUGAACGCAAAUAGUUUGAAAAGGGGUCAAAUCUUCAACUUUUUCCUUUAUGUUUAGUAAUUUUUGACUAGUUCAAAUAUAAAAACAACACAAACAAAUUGGUUUGUUUGUCCGUUACACAAAAGUUAGCCCUUGUUUGGUAGAGAUUAAAAUCGAAUUUUUAGUAAAUUUUGAUAAAAGUUGAUGAAAUAUGUAGUUGAAAAAUUGUAGGUUCCAUGAAAUAUGCGGUUAAAAUUAAUUGUUUAUUUUGACCUAGAUUUUAUUCCUACCAAACAGGGGCUUAUUUGGCUAUACAUGGAUAAAUUAAUAGAACUAGUGCAUAAUUAGUACAUAGGGUGUAGCCUUGUACAACCUGUAAAACACGAUUUCAUGUAGCAUGUUCACUAAUCAUCUAAAUUCCUAUAUUCUAUUACAAUGUUAAGUCCCUAUUUGAUUUAGCUAAAAAUCAGAUUGAUAAAAAUUGAUGGAAUGCAUGUUUGAAAAUUGAUUAAAAUUGUGAGUAUCAUAAAAUGUGUGAUUAAAAUUAAGUAUUGAUUUCAACUUAAAUUUUUAUCAACUUUUUAAUUAAAUGUGAAAGCGUAUGUGGCAUAUGAUCAUAAAAAGAAUAAAAAAGUACCUAAGUUAAAUAAAGCUGGAGUAGUUUUGGGCAAAGGAAAAGAAUAUUAAGUGCAUGUUUAUAUAUAGAACUCGAAAAAUUUGUUCUUUAAAUUCUGUCGGUUAUUUUACAUAUAACCUUACUAAACAAGCCAUAAAAAUAUGCAUUUUUUUCGUAUAUUUAUUUAGGGUAUAUACUGUAUGACACAAAGAUAUAUUUUCUGACAACUUUCAAGAGUACGACAAUUUGUUGAGAGAAUAAUUUUGCAAUCCUGUGUGCCCAUUAAUAUCGUCACAUAGAUAUAAGGUUGGGUGGAUAGAGAUCUCUGGAAGAGGUAAAUGACGAGCCGAUUUCUCGUGCAUCAGAAGGAUUAGAAAAGGUCUGAGUUUCACUUGAACUAGGUUUCAAGUCUUCAAGCUUCUCUCUGAGUGAUUGAAGCUUCAAUUCAUCUUCAUAGAUGCUUGGAUCUAUCUUAAAUUCCUGAACAUUUAUAUAUCCUUCAAGCAUGCCACAAACCGUGGACAUUGGAGGCCUUAGGGACGGAGAUGGAUUGGUGCACAAUAGAGCAACUUUGAUCAUUCGUUAUGCCUUGUCCAUAUUGAAAUUUGAACCCAACCUUGGAUCCAUGAGCUCCAUCAACCUUCCUUCGUUUUGCAAAAUCGUAGCCCGAGACGAAAGGCCAUUGCAUGAGACCUUACUUCGUGGACAUAAGAACGAAAAACAGGUUAAUGAGAUAAAACUUCAUUAUCUGAUUUGGAGAAAAUACAAAUAUCUUACCCAAUCAAGAAGGCAAAUGAAACUUUCACUGGGACGAUAUUUCAUGUUGCUCUUUCCAGAAAUAAUUUCUAGUGCAACGACGCCAAAACUGUACACGUCUGCUUUGUAGGUUAAGUAACCCCACAUUGCAUAUUCUGGAGCCAUAUACCCGCUACAAAAUGAAAAUGAUCAAAUGCAUAUUAGCACAAGCUUUCACUCCCAUUUCUCAAAUAAGCAAGUUCAAAUUUCAAAUGUUGCACGUGGAUGAUUUGAAUAAUAAUUUAGUGUUGCAAAUGUCGUGAUACUAAAUAUUCCCAAAAGACUUUAAACCGCUUUCAUCUUGUUCAAGUUUGUAUAACAAGUUCAAUUGUAAGUAAAUAAAGUGGAUUUUUCAAUAAAUAAUUAUUUUAUUGGUCAACUAAAAAUGGCGAGAUGAAGAGAAAAAAAAUCUCACAUGGUCCCUGCAACUCUAGUGCUGAUGUGGGAGUUAUCAUCCUCAUCGAGCUUGGCUAAACCAAAAUCGGAAAUCCUUGGAUUGAGGUCUUUAUCAAGAAGAAUGUUGUUGGGUUUUAUGUCUCUAUGAACAAUUUUCAACGUGGAUUCUUCAUGCAGAAAAGCCAAGCCUCUUGCUAUACCAAGAGAAAAAAAUCUCACAUGGUCCCUGCAACUCUAGUGCUGAUGUGGGAGUUAUCAUCCUCAUCGAGCUUGGCUAAACCAAAAUCGGAAAUCCUUGGAUUGAGGUCUUUAUCAAGAAGAAUGUUGUUGGGUUUUAUGUCUCUAUGAACAAUUUUCAACGUGGAUUCUUCAUGCAGAAAAGCCAAGCCUCUUGCUAUACCAAUACAAAUUGUCUGGUUGGCCAGUCCAUUUUUAAUUGCCUUUCCUCUGGUCCUGUACUUGAUAAUACGAUUCAAUUAAGUGUGUGCAUGGAUUUUAAAUACUAAAUUUGUAUAUUAGACAAGAUUUUAAAGAAUGCAUAACGCAGGUACAAAUUCCAAUUACCAUAUAAAGCGCGGGCAAGGCUAUUGUUCUCCAUGUAUUCAUAAACCAGCAGUAAAUGGCUUCCCUCAAUGCAACAUCUAUACAAUUUUACGAGAUUUGGAUGCUGUAAACCAGAAAUCAUGCCUAUUUCAUUCACGAAUUCACCGUUCCCUUGCUUUGAUUUGGAAGACAGCUACUUGACAGCAAUUACACUACCAUCCAACAGUAUACCCUGCAAAUGAAGCAUUAUAGUAUCACAGACAUGCACGCAUAUAGAAAUGUUAGAAAAAUAUAAGCGCGAAGGUAUAGACAAAGUAUAAGAGAGAAAAGUUGGAAGUUAAUAUUUCUACAUACCUUGUAGACAGAGCCAAAACCACCUUCCCCAAUUUUAUUUGCAGCAUCAAAGUUGUUUGUGGCGGCUUUGAUUUGUCUAAAAGUAAAAAAGCCAGUCCGCAAAUCUAAUCCCCUUAGUUCUAGAAAAGAACAAUUUUUAGAUGUUGAAUUCAUUGUAAGCUAUAUAGUUAAGGAUUUCGUCAGCUCUCUUUUUCUCUAUGUAGUACACUAGAAUAUGUUUUAGUUUUUCUUUGAUCUAUUGCUUGGCCAUGGUCACAUCACCACGAGAAAAAUAUUUAUCCUAAAUUUGAGAGUAACUUCCAUAGUUGUCAGCUGAUGCAUUACUACUGUAAGACUAUCCAUAAAAUUAUAUACGACAAUUCAAUAUUUACAUUCUUGCUUAAAUACUAAGAAAGGUCUAUUUGUUCACCUUCUUCCCUUGAGAUCCUGCCUCCUAUAUAGCCUUUCCACCAUGAAAAAAUAAGAAUAAUGAGAAUGAAAAAAAUUGCCAAAGCUGUUACUUCUGUUGGGAUGAAAAUAUUCUUUCCUUCGGAUGGAGGCUUAAAAUCUACAUAAUGAAAGAAAUAAAGAAUAAUUUGUUACAUGGUGUUCAGUUUGCUAGCUAGCACCAGAAAAUAAUUACAUAAAGGAAUUGGUAUAGAAAAUUUGAGAACAAUAACAAGUGAAAAAGAACGAUAAUAGAUUAAUUAAUCGAGUACUAAUUUAAGUGCCAUCAACACCUGAGUCAUGUUGCUUAAGUUGCAAAAGAUUAUGUGGUUGUGCAGAUAAAAUGUAUAUUUUCUCAAAUAAAUAGAUAAAAAAAAAAUCUUAAGAGAGAUAGAGGUGUUUUGAGGAUAAAUUUAAUGGUAUUACACAAACUAUCUUACCAGAUUCCACAGAAAUGGCAGAUAUCAAAGGGUCAUAUACUCUUCCGAAAGGGAUGGCUAUUAAUCCUUUCCCAGAAUAGUAAAAUCGGAUAUCCAGAGUUUUAUUCUUAACCGUCGCAUUAAAUUGUUUUUUCACAGCGUUAUCAACUCCUUUCGCAUCCUUCUUAAUAUCAAAAUCUUUCAAUUUCAGUUCGUCCUAUAUUACGUUGAAUAAGUUUGAGUCAAAUUGCAACAGUAAAUGGCACUAAAAAAAACUGUUUAUUUAUUACUUGACCUGGAUAUAAAUGUCAAACAUCUGUCUCCCAAGACUCUGGAAAGAGUUAUUAUCUCUAAAAAUUAUCUCUGCAAAGUGAAGUGUCACAGUGUAGUUUCCAUUUGCUAAGCAACACCCGUAAUAAGUGAGAGAUAAAGGAGAUAGACGAGCAUCUGCAUAGAGUUCAGAGUCCUUCAUUUUCAGCACAGAUACAUUGUAGGCUUUAUAGUGAUUCUUGAACCAAGGAAAAUGUCCUGUACUACUAGUUCCCCAGUUCUCUUUUGAGUGAACAAAUUGUACUGAACCUCCUGUUUGUACAUUAGCUUCAAAUUUUUUGUUGAAAAUAGUAACUUCCCCUCCACCACAAUUUACAUAAAAGGAAUACCAAUUUGUGAAAAACCAAAGCAUAAUAAGUUUUCUAGAGCAUCUCUAAAAGACUCUUCAAACAUAAAAUUUCUCUAUUUUAAAGAAUCAAGCCUUAAAGUUAUGCUUCAAGAGACUAUUUAAUUUAACAUUUUAAUUUAGAGAGAGUUUGACUCUCCAAACUUAGAGAGUCAAACACGCUCUUUAUAAUUUAAUGCAUUUAAAAUAUUUCAAUUUUCAGUGAAAAAUAAUAUAAUAAUUUAGAGGAAAGCUAGUGAAAGUAAAAGACAAGAAAAAAACAAUAAAUAUUUUUCUGAAGUAGUAAAAUUAAGUAUUAUAUAUAAAGAACUUGUUGAAGUACUUAAAAAUUUUUACUCCCUAAAUUUAAAUGUUCUUUAUUGCGGAAGCUCAUUCGAAGAUCUUAGAAAUGGUGAAUUUCGGGCUCAGUUUUUAGUUAUAUUUUUCUACCAAACAACCAAUCUACACUACUCCAACCCACAACCAGUAUAUUCAUCUCGAUUGCUCCUCAAUCUCACCCACAAAGAAUAAGGUAACGGUGAUGAUUUAUAGGCCACAAAGGCAUGGGAAAAACAACGAAAAAGGCAAGAGAAUGGACCAAAAUACACAAGAUGAAGGCACUGAUUUUCUCUCUAUAUGGCAACUGACUUUUCCAGGAAGAAGCAACCACAUUUUUCCUCAUUUUCAUAAACAAAUCAUACACUAACGGCAAGGGGAAAAAGCAACAUAUAUAUAGGGUUAGGUUAGGUUUUAGUUGGACCAAUAAGGGUUAAAUGGGCCAAAAUUCAAAGCCAUCUAAGAGGUAAUAUAUAUGGGCUGUGAGUAGCUCUAAUUUCUUAAGCUACUUCCUACAGUCCAUAUUGUUUUUAGGUCGCGCUUUUAGACUUAACUGUUGGUAACAAUUUCACUCAUCGACCAAUACCUAUGAAAUUCAAUCUGACAUUUAAUAAUCAUAGCCAAAGAUUUAUUAGGUAUCAAAACUCAACAAAUCUUCACCUUUAUACUCAAUCAACUUACAAGUAAUCAAAAUACAAAGUUAGUACUUACACAAUCAAAGUAGCUAAUAAAAUUGGGAUCACAGACUUUACCUCGUGUUUUGGACCCGAAACACAUACCAUACCAACUUUACGUACUCACCAGGGCUAUAGUCUUAAAGAAAUACCCAAGUAGAAGUUUAUUAUAAUAGUAAACAAUCAAGAGCAAAUAAAUAUGCGAUGAAGAUAUAACAUAUGAUAAUACACAGAUCUUUUCAAACCCAUGUUCGCACAGAACAAAAGAUUAACACCAAGUUAAUCAAUAAACGGUUAACAUAUAUACAACAAAUGCAUAAAUGACCACAUGAAAAGAUCUUACCACACUUAUCCUAUCCCAUUUUUGUUUCCCUCUCAUUGCCCACCAUGUUUACUAAACUGAUCACUCAAUUCAUGUCUAAUUCAUAAAUCACAAUAGGUCCUAAAUUCGUAGGAUAAUCCUAUAUCAUCAUAUCAUUUUUCCAACCUACGUGGAUACAUGAGUCUCCACCUAACAUAAGUGAUAGACGUGUAUCUCUUACACUCCACAUGAUCAUGAUUUUCUCAGUUAAAGAGUUCCAACAUUUAAUCACAUUUUCACUCGUGAUCAAAAUGUCACAUCUCACAUUCCUGGUACAAACCACCAAUGUACCCCUAGUCAUCUAUACUCCACCUCACCAAUAGACACACAACACAAUUAUUGCUAUUACAUCCUAACCCACUAUGCAUGCAAACAAUUAUACCAAAUAAUCACAUUGCUCUCAAAUUCAUACAAUGGCACAUAUUAAACACAUAGAAAUGUCAUAUAACUAUGCAACAUAAUUAAGCAAUCACACAUGCAGAAAGGAGUACACACAUUUGCACAUGCAAUAACUAGAUUUACUCUUAAUAAACCUCACUAUGAUUAUCACUCGACCUUAUAGCCACAUUUACCUCACCUCUCAUCUUACCCUUCUGCUUAUUCCCUUUUUUGGGAUAAUCUCUCACAAAGUGUUUAGACUUACCAAAGCUGUAACAUUAGUUACUACUAGACUUAUCCCAACCUUUAACCUUUUUUUUUACCACCCUCAUCACUCGAGUCAUCACUUGAAUCACAACUGUCUUGAUUUCUUCCCGAAUUUAUUUGUUUAAACUUCAUUUUACUCUUCAUUAUAUAUAACUCACAACUNNNNNNNNNNNNNNNNNNNNNNNNNNNNNNNNNNNNNNNNNNNNNNNNNNNNNNNNNNNNNNNNNNNNNNNNNNNNNNNNNNNNNNNNNNNNNNNNNNNNNNNNNNNNNNNNNNNNNNNNNNNNNNNNNNNNNNNNNNNNNNNNNNNNNNNNNNNNNNNNNNNNNNNNNNNNNNNNNNNNNNNNNNNNNNNNNNNNNNNNNNNNNNNNNNNNNNNNNNNNNNNNNNNNNNNNNNNNNNNNNNNNNNNNNNNNNNNNNNNNNNNNNNNNNNNNNNNNNNNNNNNNNNNNNNNNNNNNNNNNNNNNNNNNNNNNNNNNNNNNNNNNNNNNNNNNNNNNNNNNNNNNNNNNNNNNNNNNNNNNNNNNNNNNNNNNNNNNNNNNNNNNNNNNNNNNNNNNNNNNNNNNNNNNNNNNNNNNNNNNNNNNNNNNNNNNNNNNNNNNNNNNNNNNNNNNNNNNNNNNNNNNNNNNNNNNNNNNNNNNNNNNNNNNNNNNNNNNNNNNNNNNNNNNNNNNNNNNNNNNNNNNNNNNNNNNNNNNNNNNNNNNNNNNNNNNNNNNNNNNNNNNNNNNNNNNNNNNNNNNNNNNNNNNNNNNNNNNNNNNNNNNNNNNNNNNNNNNNNNNNNNNNNNNNNNNNNNNNNNNNNNNNNNNNNNNNNNNNNNNNNNNNNNNNNNNNNNNNNNNNNNNNNNNNNNNNNNNNNNNNNNNNNNNNNNNNNNNNNNNNNNNNNNNNNNNNNNNNNNNNNNNNNNNNNNNNNNNNNNNNNNNNNNNNNNNNNNNNNNNNNNNNNNNNNNNNNNNNNNNNNNNNNNNNNNNNNNNNNNNNNNNNNNNNNNNNNNNNNNNNNNNNNNNNNNNNNNNNNNNNNNNNNNNNNNNNNNNNNNNNNNNNNNNNNNNNNNNNNNNNNNNNNNNNNNNNNNNNNNNNNNNNNNNNNNNNNNNNNNNNNNNNNNNNNNNNNNNNNNNNNNNNNNNNNNNNNNNNNNNNNNNNNNNNNNNNNNNNNNNNNNNNNNNNNNNNNNNNNNNNNNNNNNNNNNNNNNNNNNNNNNNNNNNNNNNNNNNNNNNNNNNNNNNNNNNNNNNNNNNNNNNNNNNNNNNNNNNNAAAUGACAAGAUAAUGGUGAUGAUUUGUAGGCCACAAAGGCAUGGGAAAAAUGAUGGAAAAAAGCAAGAAAAGGGACCAAAAUACACAAGAUGAAGGCACCGAUUUUCUCUCUCUAUGGGAGCCGAUUUUACAUGAAGAAGCAGCCAUGUUUUUCCUCUUUUUCAUACACAAAUCAUAUACUAAUGGCUACAGUAAAAAGUAACAUAUAUAUAGGGUUAUGUUAGGCUUUAGUUGUCCCAAUAAAGGGUUAAAUAGGUCAAGAUUCAAAGCUAUUCAGUAGAUAAUAUAUAUAGAUCGUGAGUAGCAUUAAUUUUUAAGCUACUUCCAAUUGUCCAUGUUGUUUUCGGAUCAAGCCUUUGGACUUGAUUGUUGAUAAUAAUUCACUCAUUGACCAAUGCUUAUGAAAUUGAAUCCGAUGUUUACAUUGUAGCCCUAAAUUCAUUGAGUGUCAAAAUCCAACACUCUAAAUUGUAGAAUAUGCUCUUGAGUGUAAAACAGACAAAAGUGCUAUAACUAUAUAUGAUAUAUUACAUUACUACUGUAUUCUUUUUGUUUUUAGUUUUCAACUUGAGUACAAAAAAUGAUAUUGCAAACUUGAUGGUAUACUACGCUUGGAUGAUGAGAUUCGAGUAAACAAUCAAGACUGAGCUUGUAAAAUGAAGUACUUACCCUUUGAACAAGGAGUGAGGCACUUCCUAUGUUCUCUGUAUCAAGUCAUAUGGCAAGGGAGCAGAAUGAAUAAUAUGAUAUACAAAGUUAUGUUUAGAUUACAAUAAUCUUAUCUACAUAAGAAGCAACUUAAAAACUGUUUUCUCCACUAAAGCUUCUGAACAAGUUUCUGACGCAGAAAGAAAGGGAAAAAACAAAUUGAAGCUAUGAAAAACAUACAGAAAGAAAGCAUACGAAGAAAAAUUGGGGCUUACAUAUUGUUCCUGCAAAAUUGAUGGAUCAGAAGUCUCAUUGAAGUUAUUGUAAGAAAGAUCUACGUGGCUGCAAAUGCAUUUAAUAUCUCUUUAAGAACUUAUUUCAAUCCUCUAAAAUUAAUGAAAGAAAAGAACCCAUAAAUUACAUAGUGAGAGAUGUCCACCAGUAUGUAGUAACUAAAGUAAAAAUGAGAUUGUUUUCGAACUUAUGAGACUAGUCCUGUAUCUUAAGGUGAGCUUGAACAACAAUUGUAUGUCUAGAUAUAAAGAUGUCAAUAGAGGUCCUGAGAGAAAUGGGAAAAUUCCAUUUCUGUAUAAAUUUGAGGACAUCGUCAUUUAUGAUGGACAAUGCUACUAUUAAAUCACAUAGAUAAUUUUAUAGACGUUAAAUAAUAAGAAAUAUACAAGUGAACUUACAGUUCUUCACUUAUGCUUUGGAUCCACUUUGGAAUUUGCCCACUGAGAAAGUUACUAGUCAGAAACCUAAUCACAAACAUAAAAUCCAAAUGAAAUCAAAAUUAGACAUUUAGAUUACAGGAUAGAACAUCAUGAAAGAACAGAAGUAUGGCCUAGUAGAGUAUAUGAAUGCCACUUGAACACUAAGGAUUGAAUAUGAACUGGACAUCCUUAAGUUUGGUUACAGUGGUCCUUAUUACUUGUUUUGGAAAUAAAAAGUAGGAUUUAGGAUAUGAACAUGAACAAAGUCUUCCAUUAUCACGCUUCAAUGACAGGUGAAUAACAGAGCAAAGCUUUUGUACAAAUCAAUUGAAUAAUAUCAUACUAAUUCACUUACAAGUUCGUUAGACUUGGUAGGCGAUCAAAAUCUGGAACCUCUCCUUUUAAGUUGUUAAAGCUCAGAUCUCUGUGAAUACACCACACGAACAUCUUACGACCAAACGCAUAUUUUCUCAGCUUAACAAUAUGGCAGUGCAUAGUUAUCUUAACAUAGAAAAGUAAACCUAAAUUUUGUACGAUAUCCAGAAAGAAAGAAAAAAGAUGGGCACAAAAGCAAUGGAAGCAUAGGAAAACAUACAAAAAUUACAGGAUUUUCUAAUGUAGAUUGGGAAAAACUAAUGUGGCAAGCUCUUGGAUGGUACGAAACUUCACAAUCUGAAAAUGCACAUGGUACGUCCUCCAUAUUUUUCCAUAGCCAGGUCUCCACCAGAAGUACAUAUUUUAUUACAAGGAGUAGGUUUUUGUGCAACAAAUUCGUGUUUUUGGUCACUAUCUUCAACAAGUAACAAUAUAAGUGUCAAAUAUACUCAAUGAUAAUCAAUAAUACUCGAUGUCCUUCAAUGUGAGAUGUUCUCUUAGUGUAUAAAAUUAAAAUCACAAAUAAAUAUGGUAGCUAUCAAUUAUAAUUAUUCAUUAAUGGUAACUUAUUAAAUAUGGUAGUCCUUAUAUUUCACUAACAUCCCCUCUCAAAUCUCAAAUUGAUGCUUAUUAAUUUGCAAUCAUAAGUUGAUGGUGGCGACAAUGCUCAUGCCCACGAAAAAGAUAUCCAAAUCAAAGUAAUCAUCUACGGAACAUUGUGACAAUGAGAGAGCAAGAACAAUAAAUAGUACAGAAACAUCCAAAAACUACCUCAAGAAUAUUCCAAAACCACUCUAGAGAGUUCACAGCCCAAGAAGAAUUUCAAAAAGAAAUUCAUGAAGUGUACCGAUCACACAAUGAGAUCGGGAGAACUCAGUCAAACACAUAAUUAGUAUUCCAUCAAAAUCUCUAAUGGCCAAUAUACCGGCCAAAAAUCUAGUAAUAUAUCGCUGACCAGGACGCUAUAGUAGGAAGAAAUAUCAGAAAACAGCCUGCACAAAAAAAAAAAAAAAAAAAAAAAAAAAAAAAAAACGCCCCCAAAAAAAAAAAAAAAAAAAAAAAACAAAGAUGAUCUGAGAACCCAAAAUUCUUGCUCGUCACCCAAGCAACUAAAGCUCCACCCAUGUCUCUCUCAUCCUAAUGACCCAUCAAUAUGAUUGCCAAGCUCCUUAUUGGAAGCAAAUCAAGCCACAUCCAUGUCGCCCACAAAGAGAAACCACAAUUUAUAGUCCAUUUGCUCACAACCCAUAACUACCUAGCCCAUUUUUAAUCAAGUUAUACACUCAUGUCCAAAAGCCAAGCCUACUUUCAUCAAAUCCCUAACCUAUUUACAAAGCCUAGAAUAAAAUACUGCUUAUUCAAAAUUGUUGAGGCCCAUAAUCAUCCAUUAAAGUCUUCAAAACCUAACCCAUUCAUCAAAUAAUAAUGACGCCCAAACCAAUAAAGCAGCAGGCCCACCUACAAAUCCAUGACUCAGUGUCUUUUUUUAUCCCAUUCGCUUAAGAAUCUUCAGAUCUCUGCCAAAAAUCCAUUAAUUUUACUCUCAAUAGUAACACUUCCUCUCUUUAAUCUGACAGUCUUGGAUUGAACUGAUACGCAUUUUAUGUGCAAAUUAACAUAGUUUUUUUUUUUUUUGAUAACCCAGGUGUCCCAGCUUAGUCGGACUAAAUCCUGGACUUCUAGCCCCCGGCCCCUCAGUGACUAGUGGAGGUAAAUCGCAGGUUGUGCCCUUGUUGGUUCCCAGGUUCCCACAUAGCUUUUACUCCUUCCCCAAAGGGACCCUCCUCCAUGGUUAUUACAUCACCAAGCUGCUCCAACCCUUCCUCUGGUUAUUACAUCACUUGGCUGCUCCAACCAGGAAUCGAACUCCCCACACUUGGUUCCAGAGCCCCCCAAUGUGAUUGUUCCGCCAACUUGAAUGUGCUCUGGGAGGCACAAAUUAACAUAGUUGCAUUCACAGAAGUGUGAUUGUGUGUGAGAUGGUGUGUAAAGGAUUGUAGAAAAGUAAUGGGGUCUAGGAUAAAAAUCAAAUUCCAAUAAGAAUUCUCUCUGCUUCUCAUGAUAAAGAUAUGUUGGCUGGUGCUCCACCUCAGAAUUCCCAAUUAUUGACGAGCCUCUACACCUCAGAAUUGCUAGCAUUCAACGAGCAAUAUGGUGCUCCAUGGUCGAAUAAUAGCUCUCUCUCAUCUUCAGCAAUUUCUCUGCGUUGAGAGAUCCGGCCCCUGGGUCGUCUAGUGGACUACUGGACUCGAAAAUGGUGACUGAAAUUUCCAUUUUUUCUAGAAUCAAUUGUUCCUGAAAUCCCACUACCUAUGACAGAUUGGAGGCGAUGCUUUACAUGUCAGCAACGGCAGCAAGUAUGCUUGGUUCUGUUCAGUUCAUAGCAAUUUACAUGAUCGAACACAAGGAAUAUGGAUAGGGUCCACAGCAGUGGGGGCAAACUUGUCCUAACCUUUCUCUUCCAAUUAAAUUUUCUCUCUGUAUCGCUUGAAACUCUUCGCAGAUUAAUUGCUUCACUGCUUUGGUGAAGUACUUAACUUAGUUUGGUGGUGAGCACACAAUUCAUCUUUUACCUCACUGUGAACGCCUGAGUAUCAAUAGGAGCGGCAAAACAUAUUUCUUCUGUGCUAAACAAUUAAACUAAAUAUUUCUUAGGGUUAAGUGCUCUCUCCCAAUCUUCAGGUCACUAUUGCUUUGGCUGUUCUACCUUCAGCCACUGUUGAGACGAUUGUCGAUGAUGCAAUUAGAGAGAAAGAAUAGAGAAAUCACUUGAGGAUGAAUUGAGUUCUAAUCCAUAUGAUAUUCGAAUAUACUCAAUCAUAAUCAAUAAGCCCCUCAAUAUAAGAGGUUCUCUCGUUAUAUUGAAAUAUAUAAAAACUAAAUAUUCUAGCUAUCAUUUACAAUUAUCCAUUAAUGGUAACUUAUUAAAUACGGUGGCUUCCCUUAUAUAUGAGCUUUCCUUAUAUUCCACUGACAGAAAUUUCCAAUGCCUCCCAAAUAAAUGGUUAUUUCUAGAAUGAAAGAAGAGGAAAUAAGAACUGUGGUUGUGUUAAAAGUUUAUACAAUUCUUUAACUUUAAAUCUCAUGAAAAAUUAGCUCAUCUAAAUGUGAAAAGAAAACAACUAAAAUGCCAGAGGGAGUCCAGGACUGCGAGCUGCUAGGUAUAUUCUUUUUAAGUAACUCAUAGAGUUGGCAUUUAGUCACGAGAAUAUUGAAACAAUUAUGAUGUGGAGUGUAAUUGUAAAAAGAAGAAAAGAGGUACUACUACUAGAAUCAGUACUUAGAUAGCCUUCAAUGAUCCAAUGCCUGUAAGGUAAUUAGGAAUGCUUCCAGUUAUGUUACAGCUACUUAACGUCCAGCUAGCACGCAACAUAUGUAUAAAAUAAUAUGGUUCUAAAAGAAAUUAUCACAAUCUUCUAAGUUCUUUAUUGAUUUAGUGACAUUUACUCACAAAUACGUAAGGUUUCUCAUGUCUUUUAGCAGUGGGAACUCUGAAGCACCUCCAUUCAAGUCACUAAUAAUUCUGCAGAGAUAUCACAUUACAUCAGUUGUCAUCUUCACCAUCAAUGUAUAGUAAAUGAACAUAAAAUUGUUACUGAAGUAUUGACAAACUGAAAUCUGACUGAAUAGGUUUCAACUCACAGUUCCCUUAAAUUUUUUAAGAUGGAAAUACUAGGAAGUAUGGGUCCUUCAAAACCAUUGCCUUUUAUCACUCUGUUGAAAAUAAAUUAAUAAUGUCACGUAAACAAAAGUCGCAACUGUAAAUAUUGCAGUUCGGAAAAUGCUCAUUCAGGAAAGGACUUACAAGCUCUUAAGGUUUGUCCAGCUCUGAAAAUUAGGUAAUUUUCCAGUGAAGUUGUUACUGAUUAGCCAACUGCAUUGGCCCCGAAAGACAUGUUAUCAUUAAAAUAGCAGAAAACUGUUUGCACUUUUCUAGAUUAAAAAACUUUAUACUUUGAGAAAUGUGUGGUAAAAUACUUACAGAACUAUCAACAUUUUUAGAUUAUUUAAUUCAAUCGGCAACUCACUAGUGAGAUUGUUAUCAUAUAGAUAGCUGCAUUGACCAAAAAGACAAGUUAAACUUACAUAAAUGGGUAAAUUACAGCCACUGUCUCUAACCUUUUGUUGGAGUAAUUUUCAAAAGAAUGCCAUUUAGACAUUGGUAAAUUAAAUCAAGGAAAUACAAUUCAAAAAGUACUUGAUCAAGAUGGGACAAGAACGAGAGACGUAGGAAUGGACAAAAACUUGAGCCAGUUUGCAAAGUAAACUAGUGUAGGUGGGCAACAUGGAAGUGCUCCUGUGCUUCCUAGUUGGCGCAGGUGUGCUGCCAUGUUGCCCACCUACACUAGUUUGCUUGGUUGGCGUAGAUACGCUGCCUGUGCUGGGCAGUCUUGAGAUUAACCCAGUAGCUUUUAGAACUUACUUCUUAGAGAAAGUAAGGAGCAAAAAUGAAUAGGAAAGUUUCUGUGUAUUGAAGAUAAAAGUCACGCUAAUUGUACGUCAUGUGGUUCUUAAAUAUGAAUGGAAAAUACAGCACUAAUUACAGUUGUUUACAGCUGCACACUAACUGAAAAUUUCAACUAAUCUGACUAAUUCUUCAGCUCACUUUCACGUCAGCUUCUUCUGGUAAUCUCAAUAGCCCCCUUCAAGGUGGAGUGUAUAUGUUGCACAUAUUCAUCUUGCGCAGUAGAGAAUGAAAUAGAGAUGCUCCCACUGGUUUUGUCAUAAUAUCUGCUAGUUGAUUACCUAAAGAGACAUGCAUGGUGUGUAAAAUUCCAGCCUUAAUCUUGUCCCUUACUAAGUGACAAUCUCGUUCGAUAUGUUUUAUUAUCUCAUGAAAUAUAGGGUUGACAGCAAUGUGUAAUGCAGCUUGAUUAUCACAAUAUAACAAUGCAGACUUCUCAUGUUUGAUUCCCAAGUCAGCUAGUAGGUAUAAAAGCCAUUGAACUUCGCAUGUAGCAAAUGCCAUAGCACGGUAUUCAGCUUCUGCUGAAGAUUUGGAAACUGUACUUUGCUUCUUAGACUUCUAGGAUAUUAAAGCAUUUCCUGAAAAGGAACAAUAUCUAGUUAUUGACCUCCUUAAAUCAGGGCAACUUGCCAAUCUGAAUAUGAAAAGAUCUUCAAUCAUAAGUCAUUUUCUUUAGGGAAGAAAAUCCUCUGUCCUGUCAUGCUCUUGAUAUAUCUCAAUACCCUAUAAGCUGCAUUCAAAUGAGGUUCCCUUGGUUGGUUUAUAAACUGACUUAACACUUGAACCACAUAACUCAAAUCAGGCCUAGUAAUGGUUAAGUAUAAUAAUCGUCCCACCAGCCUCUUGUAGAUUGAUGCAUCAUUCAAUAAUUCUCCACUCUCUUUGUCCAGUUUAAUGUUCAGCUCCGUUGGUGUGUUUGCCGGUUUAGCACUACUGAAGCCAGCAUCUUCUAAAAUGUCUAUGGCAAAUAUUUUUUGGCACAAAGAAAUUCCUUUCUUAUACCGAGUCACCUCCAGUCCUAGGAUAUAUUUCAAUGCUCCUAGAUCCUUUAUCUUGAAUUUCAUAUCAAGAGAAGCCUUCAAAUCAUUCAUGCCUUGCAAAUCAUUUCCUGUCAAGACAAUGUCAUCCACAUAUAUUAGAAGAGCAGCAAAAGAGCCAUUUCUAUUUCUGGUAAAGAGUGGAAAAUCUGAGAACUUAGUGAACCAUUGCCUUGAGGCUUUUUUUAAGCUGUAUAAAGACUUGUUGAGCCAGCAUACCAUAUUGUGCCCUUUGCCAAAUUUUCAUGUAUAUUUUCUCAUUCAAAUCACCGUGUAAAAAAACAUUGUUGACAUCCAAUUGUAAGAUAUUCCAAUCCAUAGCAGCAGCUAUAGCCAAUAAAACUCUCACAGAUGUAAGCUUCGCCAUAAGAGAAAAAGUUUCGAGAUAAUCAAAACCUUCCUUUUGAGUAUAGCCUUUAGCCACUAAUCUGGCUUUAUACCUUUCCAGGGACCCAUCAGCUUUCAAUUUUACUUUGAAUACCCAUUUAUAGUCAAUAGGAAUUUUUCCAUGAGGCAAACUAGUGAUCGUCCAUGUGUGUUUAUCCUCAAGUGCCUUAAUUUCCUUAGUUAUUGCUUCACACCAGUUAGGGUCCUUGACAGCUUGAUCAAAAGACUGAGGCUCAGUCAUAUUUGUGAUAGUAAAAACAUAUGCUCGAUGGGAAGAUGAGAGCCUGUCAUAAGCAAGAUAAUUUGGAUAUCACAGCUGGAGCUUAAGCUUGAAAGGACUUUACUUAUGGACUGAUCAGAUCUGGUAAGAGAGUUUUGAGCCAAAUGACAAUAAUAUUGCUGAAGAUAAGAAGGGGUUUUUUAAUUCUUGUGGAUCUUCUCAGAGGAGAUGGCAAUUUGAACCAUUAAAAUUGAAAAUUGCGGUUAACUGAACUGAAUGAGGCGAAAAAACCGAACCGAUGGUGUAAUAGGACGGAUGUGGUAUUUGAUCUUAAUGAAUCGGUUUGUGGCAGUGCAGGUAUGGUAUUUAUGCAGUGGAACUGAUUACCCACUUAAAAAAUCAUUCUUUUAUUAGGAAUGACAAGGUUUACUGAGGAGGAAGUUGACAAAGAUGUACAUUUUUUUAUUUAAAUCUUAGUUAAAUCCAUUCUGGAUUAGGUAGUAUCGUUGUAUUCUCUACUUAUAUUUCUUAUUCACUAUAUAGGAAUCAAUUUUGAGUGCUGACCUAUGCUAAUAAAAGUUGUGAGAAAGAAUGAAGAUUGAAUACGAUUUAAGGUUGAAGCUUUUGAAUUAUUGAGCAUGAAUCAAAUAACUACAAUGCACAAGAAUCAAGAAUGAAUGAAAAGUUUAGUAUUGUUAUAUUCAUAAUAUUGUUUGUUAAAUUUGUAUUUUGCAAUUAGAAUUUGGGAUAAUGUUUGCAUUUUUGUUUGAAAUAUUGUGUUUUUAUUUUCAUUGGCUCUCUUUUCAUAAAUUGUUUUAUAUCAAUUUGACGGAUGGACCUAUAUAAAAUAAUUUAUUUUCGGGGUUAUUAAUCGAACUGAACCGAUUUACAUGGUUAUGGUACGGUUAUGGUAUGACAAAAAAUUUGACGGUUCAGUGAUGGUUUUGGCCGAACCAAAUCGAAACCUAACCGUUGCCAUCCUUACUGGUAGAAGGAUAGUGGUAUUUUGGAGAUCUGGUGAUUGGUGAUCUGGUAAAGUAUACGGUGAAAUAGUUUCAGCUAUAGAAGACACAUGGAAAGGAAAUAUGGGAAAUGAAGACUCUGGAAUUGGAUUGGGUAAAACAAAUGGACAUCCCUACUGGUGGAAGGAUAGUGGUAUUUUGGAAAUCUGGUGAUUGGUGAUCUGGUAAAGUACAUGGUGAAACAUUUUCAGCUAUAGGAGACACAUGGGAAGGAAAUAUGGGAAAGGAAGACUCUGGAAUUGGAUCGGGUAAAACAAAUGGAUUAUUAUGAUUUAAAGGAAAUUGUUUGAAUGGAAAGAUGUUUUCAUAGAAUAUGACAUUUCUUGAAAUGAAGGCAUCCUGAAUUUGAAGAUCUAGGAGUUUAUAGCCUUUGAUAGAAUAUGGAUAGCCAAGAAAGAUACAUUUAGUUGCUCUAGAAUCAAAUUUUGAUCGAUUUUUAGUGAGCGUGUAAGCAAAAUAUAAGCAAUUAAAAAUCCUGAAAUGAGUGUAGUCUAGUUUUUGGGAGAAAAGAACUUCAAAGGGAGAUUUUCCAUGGAGUAAGAGAGUGGGAAGUCUGUUAAAAAGGUUAAAUCCCAACCUUGAGGGCUCCCACCGCCCCACCCCUGGAGUAUCGUGAGGGAGGUAAAUCAUUGAAUAUGCCCCAGUAGGCCAGGGAACAAGAGCUUGUCGUACACUGGUGCCCACAAAGAGUCCAAUUCCAUAUCUCAGGAAUUGAAGCCUCACACUGCAGCUGCCAGCAAGGCUAAGACUACCUCACUCCUGUCCUUUGCACCACUGAGAUAUGCUAUGGGGGCAAGGGAGUGGAAAGUCUGUUGAUUAUGUAAGUGGCGGUUUGCAUACAUUCACCCCAGAAACUAAGGGGUAAAUUAGAUUGAAAACGAAUUACUCUAGCAACAUUUAAUAGAUGUUGGUGCUUUCUUUCGACUACUCUAUUUUGUUAAGGUGACUCAACACAAGUCUUUUGAUGUAUAACACCCUUAGACAUAAAAAAAUCUCUAAGGUGAAAUUCUGAACCAUUAUAUGAAUGAAUGCACUUUAUCUUGAGAUUAAAUUGCGUCUCAAUUAAAGUGAAGAAAGUUGGAACGACAGAUUGCGUUUGAUUUUUAGAAUUUAGUAAUCAAGUCCAUGUACAUCGAGUAAAGUCAUCGACAAGAGUUAGAAAGUAUUUUGAACCAUCAAUAGCAGUAGUAGAUAAAGGACCCCAUAGAUCAGCAUGUAUUAGAUCAAAUGGGGUUGAACUAUUUAUUUCACUGGAAACAUAGGGUAAUCUGUGUAAUUUAGCCGUAGGGCAAACAUCACACUGAUGUAUAGUAUUUACAUUCAAAUCUAAAAUGGUAGAUUGCAGCAUUGUAGGCGCUGCAAAGAUGGAUGCCCUAACCUAAGAUGCCACAAAUUAGAAACUGUGGAUGUUAUAGAAUUAGCAAAGUGUUUGUGUUGUGUAGGAGUGAUGUUCAGCAUAUAGAACAGGCCGUUUCUCUCUUUAGCCAGACCAAUCGUCUUCUAUAAACGUAGGUCCUGUAAAAAGCACACACCAGACAAUAAGAUGAGAUUACAUCUAACUAUUUUAAGCAAGUAACUGACUGAAAUUAGAUUGAAUGCAAAAGACGGCACGCAUAGAACAUUCUUCAAAAUGAUGAGUCUGAAAGUCUAAUUGAUCCAACAUGUGUAACCUCUGUUAAAGUACCAUUUGGAAGCUUAACAAACCGAGAUGCUGAAGCUGUGAUUUCAGUGAGUGAAUGGACUGAACACACCAUGUGAUCUGUAGCACCGGAGUCUAAAAUCCAUUUAUAAUUCAUAUUCAAAGUUUCAGGACUUUCAAAUGACUUAGAUACUGACUUACACGAAAAACAUUGACUAAAUACUGAUGCAUUGUGGAGGCAAAUAACUUUAUAUACCUGCCAGAUUUGCUAAGGCAUGCUUCUGGGAACCAGAGGUGCUUGCAUUCUGAAGGUUAAUAGUACGGGUACUUGUGAAUGGCAAAGACGUUUCAUCGAUAGGUUAAAUCAAAGCCAGCAGCUAUUCAUAUUGAUCUUUAGUGAAGGGGAAUUGUGAAAGAUCAGUGGUGAUAUUAGGAACAAAUUCUACUUGAUUUGUAACUCCAUGGACCACAGGAUUCUUGUUCUUGAACUUAUAUCUUGGUGGAUAUCCGUGCACUUUGUAGCAUUUGUCAAUUUUGUGGCCAAGAAGACCAUGGUGGCUGCACUGAGGACACUCCUUUUUAUUGUUCAGUCCAGUGUAGUUGUUUAUUCCCUCGUUAGUAUAUUGAUUCCUAUUGAAAUUUUUAGCUACCAUAGCUACGGAAUCUAGAUUAUGUGUGAUUCUAGCAGUUAUUUCUCUUUGCUUUUCCUCUUGUACAACUAGAGAGAAAACUUUGUUAAUUGCUGGUAAUGGAUCAAUCAAUAGUAUUUGACCUCGAAUCUGAGAGUAACUCUCAUUCAGCCCCAUCAGAAAUUACAUGAUAUAAUCCUCCUGCUGAAACUUCAUCAAGGAGGCUAGAACACGUCUAUAACGUCCAAGUUCAUCCCAAAAGCGUCUUCAGUUUGGUGAAUUAGGCACUUACUGAACACUGAUUUUGUGUUAAAGAGGCGAUCCCCUUCCUCAGUUGAAAGAUACGAGGUCCAUUUGUUUUUGAAAACCUCUUUAAGAUCAGACCAAAUACCAGCAGCAGUAUCAAAAUAGAGGACACUAGCUACAAUUUCUUUACUAAUAGAGUUUAGAAGCCAUGAAAUAACCAUAUGAUUGCACCUCUUCCAAGCUGGAUAGAUCGGAUCACUUUCAUCAGGCUUGCUCAGAGACUCGUCAAUGAAACACAGCUUAUUUUUGGCACUUAGAGCCAUUUCAAUGGAUGACUCCAUGAUGCAUAGUUGUCUUUGUUCAGCUACUGAGAGACAAUCAAGGCACCAGUGUUGGGCCUUCCCUCCACUUUGAGGGACUUGGCUUUUUUUAGCCAAUUUGGGCUCAAGCAUUUAAUGGCCCAUUUGUUUGGUCCAAACUAAAACAUACAAAUAUAGAUAGGGAGAAAACGGGGCAGAAUUAAUACAUUCCAAAAGGGGAAAGCCAAUUUCAUUUCUGGAGCAGAGAGUUACGCGAGAGAAAGAGUCCGACAUUUCAACUCUUCUUGCCAAAGGAUCGAGGCUCGUUUGUAGUCCGAUUUUCUUGAUAUUUCAGUAUGUUAUUCUUGGCAAAGAUACCUACAUUUUGACCGGAGCUGAUCGUCGAAAUUCUUCUCCAUUCCUCUGGGCUAUACACACUUGUCUAGUGAGAUUUUCUCCUUAUUAUUGUGUGUAUUUAUUUUGGAUGAUGUUGUUGUUGAUAUCCAAGAACUACAUGUGUUCUUGAUGUAUUUGGUAGCCUCUAGAGUUUACUUUGGAGAGGGUUAAAUUGUGUAUCCCAUUAUUCAUAUAGUGGAAGGCUUUACUGGACUAGGUCCCGGGAUUUUACCUUCACGUUGAAGGGUUUCCCUAGUGAACAAAUAUUGGUGUUGUUAUCUUUACAUUUCUGCCAGUGUGUGUGAGUUGGAGCCGGUGUUAUUUUACUGCCAUUUUAAUUCUACAUAAUAGGGGGAUUGUGUAAUUGUAUUCCGCUGCGUGGUUGUGUUAUUGGUUCAAUCCCUAACAAAGUGGUAUCAGAGCUUUGGUUAAGCCUCUGUGAUUAUUGUGAGAAUUAAAAUGGAGGAUUCAGCUAGUGGCACGGUUAAACUCACAUCUUCAAAUUAUUCUAUUUGGAAGACUAGGAUGGAGGAUAUUUUGUAUUGCAAAGAUUUGUUCGAUCCCAUUGAAUUGAAUGGCAAGCAACCUGAUUCUAAAACUGAUGAGGAUUGGAAGAAAUUGAAUAGAAAGGCCGUUGGACAAAUUAGGCAGUGGGUUGAUCAGAGUGUCUUCCAUCAUAUAGCUAAAGAAGUAGAUGCAUACAGUCUUUGGCAGAAAUUGGAAGGUCUUUAUGAAAGAAAGACGGCACAGAAUAAGGCCUUUGUGAUAAGAAGGCUUGUGAAUUUAAAAUACAGGGAUGGUAAUAGUGUUGCAGAGCACUUGAGCAGCUUUUAAGAGUUAUUGAAUGAGUUGACUACCAUGAAGCUUACACUAGAUGGUGAGGUACAGGCUUUACUUCUAUUGAGUUCAUUACCUGAUAGUUGGGAAACUUUAGUUGUCUCUCUGAGUAAUUCAGCUCCGAAUGGCGUGAUCACUGUCAACAUGGUGAAAGACAGUAUGUUUAAUGAAGAAGCCAGAAGAAAGGAGCAAGGUGCUUCUUCUAACUCUGAAGCACUUGUUACAGAAAGAAGGGGGAGAAACCAGAGCAGAAAACCUUAUGGUGAUGACAGUCAUGACAAGUCUAGAAGAAGAUCAAAGUCAAGAAAAGGGAUAAAAUGUUAUCAUUGUGGCAAUCUGGGGCAUCUUAAAAAGGAGUGCAGAAAAUGGAAAAGAGAACAGUUAAAAUUGAAAGGUGAAGAACAGAAAGAACAAAAAGAGACUGCAGUAGUUGCAUCUGAUGCAGAGGUAUUUGUUGCUUGUGAUGAAGCAUUUGCUAGCCUUUCAUUGCAGGAUUCUACAUGGAUAGUUGAUACAGGAGCCUCUGUUCAUAUUACUCCACGUAGGGAUUUCUUUUCAUCCUAUACCAGUGGUGAUUUUGGUUGGAUCAGGAUGGGAAAUGAAGCUAAAGCAAGAAUUAUUGGUAUGGGGGAUGUACAGUUGGAAACUAGCAUUGGUAGCAAGUUAUUUAUCAGGGGUGUCAAACAUGUUCCUGAUAUGCGUUGCAACUUGAUUUCUGUUGGAAAGCUUGAUGAAGAAGGCUAUCACAAUCACCUUGGAGAUGGUUCUUGGAAACUUACAAAGGGUUCUCUUGUUUUAGCCAGAGGGAAGAAGACUAAUGUUCUCUACAAAAUAGAAGCAAAACUAAUUCAUGGAAAUGUGAAUAUUGCUGAAAAUGAAGCCUCUACUGAGCUAUGGCAUAAGCGGCUUGGCCACAUGAGUGAAAAGGGACUUCAAAUUCUCUCCAGAAAGAAGCUCCUACACAAUAUGAAAGGUACAUCACUAAUCCCUUGUACUCAUUGCUUAGUUGGUAAGCAAACUAGAGUUGCAUUUCAUAGAUUCCCUGCAUCUAGAAAGACUCAUAUUCUUGAUUUAGUGCAUACUGAUGUUUGCAUGAUGCAAAGUAAAUCUCUAGGUGGUGCAUUGUAUUAUGUUACAUUUAUUGAUGAUCACUCUAGAAAAGUGUUUGCAUAUUCUUUGAAAUCUAAAGAUCAGGUGUUGGAAGUAUUUAAAGACUUUCAUUUGAAAGUUGAAAGAGAAACUGGAAGGCAGUUAAAAUGUGUCAGAGCAGAUAAUGGUGGUGAAUACAGAGGGCCAUUUGAAGAGUACUGCAGAAGACAUGGCAAGAAAACUGUUCCAAAGACCCCACAACAAAAUGGGGUGGCAGAAAGAAUGAACAGGACUAUUUGUGAGAAGAUCAGAUGUAUGCUCUCUCAUGCAAAACUGCCUAAGCACUUCUGGGCUGAGGCAAUGAGGACAACAGUUGACUUGAUUAAUCUUUCUCCAUCAGUUCCUUUGAAUGGUGAUGUUCCACAGAGCUUUUGGACAGAAAAAGAUCUAUCUCUUGAUCACUUGAGAGUUUUUGGCUGUCGGGUAUCUGUUCAUAUUCCUAAAGAUGAAAGGUCCAAACUGGAUAGCAAAGCAAAACAGUGUAUCUUCUUGGGUUAUGCACAUGAAGAAUUUGGGUACAGAUUGUGGGAUCCAGUGAACAAAAAGAUUAUCAGAAGCAGAGAUGUUGUAUUCUUUGAAAAUGAAACCAUUGAAGAUUUGGAUCAGACUAAGAAGCCAAAUACAGUCAAUGAAGAACAAAUCAGUUCAGUUUCACAUAUACCACUACCAGAUCCUGUGGUACAUGAUGAUCACAGAGAAAAUGUGCAAGAAGAACAUGACACUAUAGGAGACAGACUUGAUGAAGCCUCUACACAGGGUAAUGCAGAACCAGAUCAAAUUCAAGAGAAUGUUCCUCUUGAGGUGUUAGCUGAAGAGGGGUUAAGAAGAUCUACUAGAGAGUGCCAGCCUUCUAAAAAAUACUCUAGUAAUGAAUAUGUGUUACUUUCUGAUGGGGGAGAGCCAGAAAGUUAUCAGGAGGUUCUGUUACAUGAUCAGAAAAAUGAGUGGUUAAAAGCUAUGCAAGAAGAGAUGAAAUCUUUGCAUAAGAAUAACACCUAUGAUCUAGUACAGUUGCCUAAGGGCAAGAGAGCACUGGAGAACAAAUGGGUGCUUAGACUAAAAGUUGAACCACAUAGCUUGCAGCCAAGGUACAAGGCAAGGUUGGUUGUGAAGGGGUUUGGUCAGAAGAAAGGUAUUGAUUUUGAAGAAAUCUUCUCACCUGUGGUUAAAAUGUCUUCAAUCCGAGUUGUGUUAGGCUUGGCAGCCAGUGUGAAUCUAGAGAUUGAACAACUUGAUGUGAAGACCGCUUUCCUUCAUGGUGACCUUGAAGAGGAAAUAUACAUGGAGCAGCCAGAAGGAUUUACAGCUAAAGGUAAAGAAAAUCUUGUAUGUCGGUUGAAGAAAAGCUUGUAUGACCUCAAGCAGGCACCGAGACAAUGGUACAAGAAAUUUGAUUUCUUCAUGGUUGAGCAUGGGUACACCAGAACAACUUCUGAUCAUUGUGUGUUCAUGAAGAAAUUCUCUGAUGGGGAAUUUAUUAUCCUCUUGUUAUAUGUAGACGACAUGUUGAUUGUCAGUCGUGACACUGGAAAAAUUAAGAAGUUGAAAAAUGAGUUGAGCAAGUCCUUUGAAAUGAAGGAUUUAGGACUUGCAAAUCAAAUCCUCGGUAUGAAAAUCUCUCGUGACAGGAAGAAUGGGAGAUUAUGGUUAUCACAGGAAAGUUAUAUCGAGAGGGUAUUACACAGGUUCAAUAUGGACAAGGCAACACCAGUUAGCUCUCCACUUGCAAGUCAUUUGAAAUUGAGUUCAAAACAAAGUCCUUCAAGUGAAAAUGAAAAUGAAGAAAUGAAGAAUGUGCCUUAUGCAUCAGCUGUGGGUAGCUUGAUGUAUGCUAUGGUAUGCACAAGGCCAGACAUUGCUCAUUCUGUUGGAGUUGUCAGUAGAUUUCUUUCUAAUCCUGGAAAAGAACACUGGGCAGCAGUGAAAUGGAUUCUCAGAUAUCUUAGGGGGACUUCUAAGAUGUGUUUAUCUUUUGGCACCAGCAAACCCGAGCUUGUUGGGUUCACAGAUGCAGAUAUGGCUGGUGAUAUAGACUCUAGAAAGUCUACCUCUGGGUAUUUGAUCACUUUCUCAGGGGGAGCAGUUUCAUGGCAGUCUAGACUACAGAAAUGUGUUGCUCUAUCCACCACUGAGGCUGAGUACAUAGCCAUCACUGAAGCUAGCAAGGAAUUGCUAUGGAUGAAGAAGUUCUUACAAGAACUAGGCCUAGAGCAAGAGAAGUAUAUACUCUAUUGUGACAGUCAGAGUGCCAUCCAUCUCAGUAAGAAUCCAACUUUCCACUCAAGAUCCAAACAUAUUGAAGUGAGGUAUCAUUGGAUUCGAGAUGCACUAGAGAUGAAGAAGUUAGAGCUUGAAAAAAUCCAUACUGAUGAGAAUGGUUCAGAUAUGAUGACAAAGCCAUUGCCUAUGGAGAAACUACAAGUAUGUAGAAGGGAAGCAGGCUUGGUGGAGUCCCUCACGUAGUCGGGAGGGGGAGUAGUGUUGGGCCUUCCCUCCACUUUGAGGGACUUGGCUUUCUUUAGCCAAUUUGGGCUCAAGCAUUUAAUGGCCCAUUUGUUUGGUCCAAACUAAAACAUACAAAUAUAGAUAGGGAGAAAACGGGGCAGAAUUAAUACAUUCCAAAAGGGGAAAGCCAAUUUCAUUUCUGGAGCAGAGAGUUACGCGAGAGAAAGAGUCCGACAUUUCAGCUCUUCUUGCCAAAGGAUCGAGGCUCGUUUGUAGUCCGAUUUUCUUGAUAUUUCAGUAUGUUAUUCUUGGCAAAGAUACCUACAUUUUGACUGGAGCUGAUCGUCGAAAUUCUUCUCCGUUCCUCUGGGCUAUACACACUUGUCUAGUGAGAUUUUCUCCUUAUUAUUGUGUGUAUUUAUUUUGGAUGAUGUUGUUGUUGAUAUCCAAGAACUACAUGUGUUCUUGAUGUAUUUGGUAGCCUCUAGAGUUUACUUUGGAGAGGGUUAAAUUGUGUAUCCCAUUAUUCAUAUAGUGGAAGGCUUUACUGGACUAGGUCUCGGGGUUUUACCUUCACGUUGAAGGGUUUCCCUAGUGAACAAAUAUUGGUGUUGUUAUCUUUACAUUUCUGCCAGUGUGUGUGAGUUGGAGCCGGUGUUAUUUUACUGCCAUUUUAAUUCUACAUAAUAGGGGGAUUGUGUAAUUGUAUUCCGCUGCGUGGUUGUGUUAUUGGUUCAAUCCCCAACAACCAGGACUAUCUCCAUGAUGCAGAAAAAAUGGACUAAGGACAUCCUCCGUUUUCACUGCAGAUGCAGGAAUCGAAACAUGAGGCUCAGAAAUUAAGGAUUUAGGAGCUGAAGCGGAAGUAUCAUUAUGCUCUGAUACCAUCUUGAGAUUAAGCCAGAAGCUGUAAGAACUUACUUCUUAGAGAACAGAAGGAGUAAAAAUGAAUAGGAAAUUUUUUGUGUAUUGAAGAUAAAAGUCACGAUAAUUGUACAUCAUGUGGUCUUUAAAUAUGAAUGGAAAAAUACAGCACUAAUUACAGUUGUUUACAGCUGUACACUAACUGAAAAUUUCACUAAUCUAACUAAUUCUUUAGCUUACUUCCACGUUAGCUUCUUCUGGUAGUUUCUUCUGGUAAUCUCAACAGGCAGCACACUGCAUGGCAGUAAUAUAUAUGAAAUUGAAAUUAGUUUGUACUCUACAAUUUUCUAUACUUUUUAACAUCCAAAAUACCAACUCUUGUGUAUUCAUUUCUUCUUAAAUAUUGUUUGUACUUCGUGAUCAUAAUGCAGAGAUAAAGUACGAACUGCGAUAUAGACUUCAAAUUCUUCGACGUCCAGGUUUUCUUCAUGGAUACACAACACAAACAACACUAAAAGGCUUCAUUUUAUCCUGGAGGCAUAUUUGCAUUCCCUUGUGAAUCAAAGAUUUGUAGGGACAAAUAACAUCUUGAGGGAAGUGAUAUUAUUUUAAGUUCGAGUUUCUGCCAUAAUCCAACUUCUAGUCGUCUACUUAUCAUCUCAAGAUUAAUCCCAUCAACAAUCUUCAGACAUAAUUUCAAGUUUUCUAUGGCACGUCCAAUGUUUUAGUUAUGAGAUUUUGCAGCAGACUUUGUCAAAUUGGAAAGGUUUGAAGAUUCAAAUUUUCGAAUAUGGCAAAAAAAACUUCACUUCCUUCUCACAAUCCUCAACGUGGUGUAAUAGCUUACAACUCCAAAGCCAGAAGAGACAAAAAAUGAACCAUUGGAGAUACAAGACCUAGACAAAAAUGAGAUCAAGAUGAUUACAUAUGCGAGGGUCACAUUUAACAUGCAAUGUCUCAUAAUUCUCUUUUUGAUCAGUACCACAAGAAGAAAAUCGCCAAGGAAAUAUGGGAAGCAUUGGAAGCCAAAUGCAUGUUGGAGGAUAUUACAAGUAAGAAAUUAAUUGUAUCUAAUUCUUUCAAUAUCGAAUGGUGGACAACGUGAAGAUAAUUGAGCAAUUUCAUAAAACCACUCAUAUACAUAACCAAUUUCUUCAAUACCACAUCAAUAUGGAUGUGUCCAUUGACAAACUACCUGCAUCUUGGAAAGAUUAUAAUAGAAGUCUAAAACACCAUAAAUAAGAUAUCCCUAUUGAAGUAUUGGGUCGUAAUCUCUGAAUGGAGAAAGAGUUCAAAAUGAUUAAUUUUUUAGGAGCAUAGUGUCCAAUCUUCUAAAGUUCAUGUGGUUCAGGAUAAGGAAGGAUCGAUGAAACGAAGAUGAUGCAAAUUAACAAAACACCAAAAACAACAUGAAGAGGAAGCACGAUUCAAAAGACGAGGGUUCCAAGAAACAGAGUAGGUCUUGUUACAAUUGUAGCAAAAUGAGAAAGUGUCGCCAUUUGAAGAAGCAAGAUGACAUGGAUAACUUUGUAAUUUGAAUUUGUUUUAAGUAUGCUUUCAAGUUUGUUUUGAGAUUUUUGAAUAUGUAUUGCCAAAGAGUGGUAUUUUUUGGAAAAAUAUUUUUGUUUGUGUACGUGUUUAUAAUUAAAUAAUUAUUGCUAUAGGUUGAUUUAUUAUUUGAUUUCAUAUUUGCUUACGAGAUGCUUGAAGAUUACUUUGAUAUAAAUACGUUAGAAUAAGUAACUUGCUAUUAUAUUGAGCUAGUAUCAUAUGUAUUUUCUAAUUUAUUAUUAUUAUUUUUAAUGACGGGGAACCCGCAGUCGCAAACCACGCCAGCCUGGUACACCACACUAGACAAGCCCUGUGCGACAGGCUCAACUGAGAAAGUAUUAGUAGAGAGAAUCGAACUCGUGACCAAAUACCACCGCGCUCACCUACUCCACUACUCUGCCACCCAAUGAGGGGCAUGUAUUUUCUAAUUAUUAUCAUGAAUGUUUGCUAUAGUUAAUAAGGAAAUUUAAAGAUAUUUUUUUGUCAAGUUACUUGUAAUAAUAUAUAUAUAUAAAAGGCAAAUUUUGAAAUAAGCUUCUAUACUUUUAAACAUGAAAUUAGUUUUGUGCUUAACUAGUAUACCAUAUAAUCUUCAUAUGAUAUAACAUCGAAUUGUUUAACAUAAGUGUCAGUAUAUAUCUUCCGCAAAGGCUUCGUUUUUGGAAAAGGAACUAGCAAAAUAAAUCCAUUGGUUUGGGACCUAGUUGAUCUUCAAUGAAGUGUAAAACUCGAGUCCAAUAAAGUAAAGGAAAUUAAAUGGAUUGAUUAAUUCAAAGGUGUUGCAAAUCUCUGUUCUUCUAUUAAAAGAAUAAAAUAUUGAUUUGUCAAUUAAGUGAUUAAAUGUCCUUAUUAUAAUUGACAAAGUAGAUAUGACUUAACUAAAUGAUCUUGGUUUAAGUAAUUGAUUAUACAAGAUCAACGGAUUGAAUUAGUCUAUGACUAUGGCAUGUUAAAAUUUACAUAAGGCCUUGACUCGUUAAAUGUCACGGGAUUGAGACGGGAAAUACAACUAAUCACCAAUGAUGAAAAGUCGAUCUAACACUUGAAACAUCAAGUUCUUAGGUUCAAAGAGUAAAGUAUUUCAAAUAGGUGAUCACAGGAAAUAUUCAUUUUUUCCCAUGUAAGUGUGCUUAGUACACUUAACAAUAAGGGAAAAGAUCAGUUAUUGAGCUUUUAAUAGAUUUAAAAAAAGGUUGAACCCCAACCUUGAGGACCCCUACUGUCCCGUCCAUGGAGCAUCGUGAGGGAGGAAAAUCGCAGGAUAUGCCCCAGCAGGCCAGAGAACAAGAGAUUAUCCAUAUACUGGUGCCUACAAAAAGCCUAAUUUCAUAUCUCAGGAAUCGAACCCUCACACUGCGGUUGCCAGCAAGGCUGAGACUACCUCACUUCUGUACUUUGCACUACUGGGUUAUGCCCCCGAAGGGCACUUUUAAUAGAUUUAUAUAGAAUACUCUAGUUACGUUAGUAUUAUUGAUAAGUGUCAGAAUUUGGGUGUGAUCCAAUUUUUUUUUUUCAAAGAUAAUUGUGAGUUCUAAUUAAAGUGCACAUUAAGAAUAAUCCUUUUUGGAGUGCUAUUAUGCAAUUCUAUUCAAGUUUACUCGACGAAUUCUAGUUGAAGUUUUACUUAGAAGUCCAAUUGGGAGUUUAAAUUUGUAUUGGACUUAAAUAGGAUAUUGGGAUGAAGAAAAUCAAGUUUUUGAAGUAAAGGACUGGAGAAUGGGCAUCGCAAUGCCAAGAAGUUUUUGGUUCGGCGUCGAGGCGCACAUUGUCUGUUUCUCCCUAAGCGAUUUUUUCCUACUCUACUCCAUUUUGGACUCUCUCUUUUUUGCAUUCAACUUCAACUACAACUCUACUAUUAGGGUUUGGACAUUCACUACUAGUUAAAUAUAUAGUUGGCUCUUCAUUAUGACUUAGAAGAAGUUAUAAACAUCGUAAACACAAAUUUUUGUAUUCUUUCUCCAUAUUUCCAUUCUUUGCAAAUUAUUUUGUUUUUGCGUUAUAUUAAUCAAUUAUUUCAUAUUAUGGCUAUAAUAUCUUAUUUUUCUCCAACAAUUUGGUAUAAAAUUAAUCCGGAUUAUUUUCAUUUCACAAUAAACGGGUAUCAGAGUGUUUGGUGUUUAAAUUCUUGGGAAUAUUGAGGUUUUGAUCAAGUUAAUAGCUCAACUUGAUCUUUCAUCAUGGAAACAAUGAAGUAUGAUAUUCUGCUAUUAAAUCGCAAUACAAGAUUAUCUUUAUGACAAAUAAAGAUGGGAGCAGUAAUCGGUCAGAUGGAUUCGGAUGACGAAAGUUAUUAGAAUUUGACAAGAUGCCUACAACUUGAACUCCAGAGGAGAAACAACAGAUGGACCGAAAGAUCCUAUCUUAUAUACAACUUCAUCUUUCAAAUAUUAUUCUUUGGGAUGUUUUGAAGGAGAAGUUAGCUACUGCAUUAUUGUUAAAAUCAGAACAAUUAUGCAUGACGAAAAGUCCUAUUAGCAAAUUGCAUUUGAAGCAACGUAUAUAUUCUCAUCAUAAGACAGAAGGUAUAUUUAUUGAGGAUCACCUAGCUAUUUUUAAGGAAAUCAUCGCUAAUUUGGAGACCUUGGAAGUCAAAUAUAAUGAAGAAAAUUUGUGAUUGAUUUUAUUGUGUUCAUUGUCCACUUCAUACAUGUCUUUUAGAGACACAAUUUUAUAUAAUUGUGAUAUUCUGACCAUCAAAGAACUCUAUGAUGUUCUAUAUUCAGAGGAGAAGAUGAAGUAUCUUGUUGCAUUUGAGAGUCUUUGAGAUGGCUUCAUUGUUGAUGGUGGUCAUUCAAAGGAUAAGUCAAAAAUCUAACUUCAAAUUUUAUAAUUAUUACAAAAAAGGGGGGCACUAGAUAAAUGAUUGUUACAAGUUGUAGAAUAAAUCAAAAUUGACUACAAAUAAACAAUCAGAAAUUUUAGGAAAAACAAGUAUUGCAAAAAAAAUCCUAACAAUGAUGGAGAGCUUUUACUUAUGUCCAACUACAACUCCAAAUUUGACGAGGCUUGGAUUUUUUAUGCUGCUUGCACUUUUUAUAUGACUCCUAAUCGAGAUUUAUUCUCAACAUAUGAAGAAGUUUUAAAAGGUAUUGUAAUGAUAGGUAAUAAUACACAUUGUCAAAUAGCUUGUAUUUGUCGAAUUAAAAUAAAGAUGUUUGAUGGGAAGGUUAGAACACUUAAUGCAGUGAGUGCGUUCCAGAUUUGAAGAAAAAUCUUAUCUCCUCAAGUACUUUUGAUUCAAAAGAGUACAGUUAUAUUGUUAAAGGUGGAGUCCUGAAAGUUAGUAAAUCAACAUGUGUUUUGUUAAAGGGAUAUAGAAAAUUCCAUUUAUAUAUCUUGCAGUGUUAUAAAGAAUUUUUGAGCAAUCAGCAUAUUUUAAGAACUCAAGUGGAUUUGGAGUUGGAUUCUAUAUUGUUGGAGCCUAAUUUUAGGGAUUUUUAUUUUUAUUUAUUAUUAUUUAUUUUUUUUUUGUAAAAAAGAAUACAUCUCAGUAAAUUUAGAAGUUAUAGGUAAAUCCGCCUUACCACCAUCAUCGAUGGUGUCAUUGUAUUUAGUUGCUUGUAAUAAACCUAUUUUUGGCCAUAAUAUUUCACAUAGAUACAAUUAUGCUGAUUUAGUUGAUAGUUUGAAUGUGAUUAAAGGUGUUGAUUCUAGCCAAGAUCCUUCUUUUAAUGUAUUCAGUUGUAAUUCUAUUAUAGGGCUUGUUUCAACUUUGUUUGGUGGUCAUUAGAUCACUUUUUCCUUUAAUUGAGGUAGUAGAGGUGGAGAAUAUUUUGGUUGAAUUUUUUUAUGGAUAAGUUCGUUUGUGUCCUUUAGUGAAGAUUUCAAGUUUUUUCCAUGUAGUGGAAUUUGUCUUCAAGUGGAGAAUUUUUUCUUUUGAAGUUUUAUUCAUUUUAGUGGAAUUCGUGUCAAGGUAGAGAUUGUUAGAAUUUGGUUGUGACCCGAAUUCUUUGUUGAAGAUAAUUGAAAGUUCUAAUUAAAGUGCACAUUAGGAAAAAUUCUAUUUGGACUGUUAUUGUGGAAUUCUAUUCAAGUUUACUUGGCGAGUUCUAGUUGAAGUUCUACUUGGUAGCCCAUUAGGAAUUGAAAUUUGUGUUAAACUUGAAUAGAAUAUUGUGAUGAAGAAAAUCAAGUUUUUGAGGUAAAGGACCUGAGAGUGGGAGCCACAGCACCACGACGCUACCUACUCUGUUUCGUCCAGUGUGAUUUUUCUUUCUCUACUCCAUUUUGCAUUCUACUUCAACCACAACUCUACUAUUAGGUUUUGAACGUGCCCCUAUUUAUUCUUUAUAUAUAGUUAGCUUUUCAUUAUGAUUUAGAAGAAGUUAGAAACAUUGUAAACACAAAUCUUUGUAUUAUUUUUUCAUAUUAUAAUAAAAUUUCCAUUCUCUACAAAUUAUUUUGUUCUUGUGAUUAAUUACUUCAUAUUAUGGCUACAAUCUCUUAUUUUCCCCAACAGUUUGGUAUUGGAUUAAUCCGGUAUCAUCUUCGUUUGAUAACAAUAAGUCUAUCUCCAUGAGCGUCGAUGAUGGUUUAUCUCCAAAGUGUCUCGACUCGCUACUUAAGACAUUCUUGAAAAUUAAGGAUAUGGGACACGUGGAGUAUUCACAUGUUGAUUUAUAUGAACACGGGAGGAUAUGAAACUUGUAUAUGAAGUUUUUCGCUUAGCCAUAUAGGGUUUUUGGUUCAAAGCUUGUCUACCAUAUCGCUUUGGUUAAUAUUGUUAGAGUUGGUGACUCAAAUUGGAAAGGAAAUCUUGAAGAUGCGUGAUGGAUUUGGAGAAUCAAAUAGUAUUUGAAAAAUAAAGAAACAAAGUUCUUGUCUCGUUUUUUUUCCUUUUCACGUUUAACCUAGAAUUCUUACCUUUUUAUGACUCUUUUAGUGCUACACUCUUGUGGUAUAAAUAUGAGUCUCAUCUUUUAGUAUUGUUGAAACAUCAUUACUAUCCAGUUGUAAUUCUCUCCAUAUUAAUAAAAUUCGUCGUUCCUAUGCUUAAUUCAUCUUUUACUUUAAUCUUGUUCGUGGUAUUUUGCAAUCUUGUAUUAUACUUCAAAUUGGUGUCCAUUAAAUCUCAAUUCUUGCGUUUCAUUUCCACCCGGUCCCAACAAGUGAUAUCAGAGCGAGGUUGUUGGUGGAUUUCUGGCCUGAAACUAAUCAAAAAUUGGUCUGAAAAUUACCAGAAAAUAAGAAAAUGAAUCUGUCCAGUUUUUUUCGAUUUUCUACUGGAUCUAUUUGUGCAUUUUUCGAUGAAACUACUUACCUUUUGGAGAAACGAACACCACCAGUGGACUCAGCAAGCAGAGACGGUCCAGAAAAGGUCACAGGUCGUCGGCGCGUUUCUGGUUAGUCGCCGGCGGUGGGAACUUUGACGAGAGAGUGGCGGGGCGUGCGGUGGUUUUCGACGAUGGUGUCUUCAGGCAGUUUUCUCCGGACGACGAGAUAGACCUUGUGGUGGUGUCCAAUUUCAGUUUUGGGCAAAAUUGUGGUUCUGGACUGUUUUGCCCCUUGUACGUUCGGAAGUUUUCAGUUUUGGAUGUUGCAAGUUGCAGGCUCUUUGUGAUUUGGUUGAGAUUUUUCAAGAAUGAAUUCGUUGAAGUAUGAAAUUCUGCUAUUGGAUCACAAUACAAGAUUUUCGCUGUGGUAAGUAAAGGUGAGAGCUGUGUUGACGCAGAUGGAUCUUGAUGAUGCUUUGCUGGGUUUUGAUAGGAUGCCAGCAAACUUGUCUAUGGAGGAGAAACAAUGAAAGGAUCGAAAGGCUUUAGCGCAAGUCCAACUUCAUUUAUCCAAUAAUUUGCUGCAAGAUGUUUUGAAGGAGAAGACAGCGGCUGCUUUGUGGCUCAAGCUGGAGCAGUUGUGCAUGACAAAGAGUUUGACGAGCAAACUGACUCUAAAGCAAAGAUUGUAUUCUCAUCGCAUGGUGGAAGGAGGGUCACUAUAGGAACACCUUGCUGUGUUCAAGGAGAUCAUUGCAGAUUUGGAGACGUUGGAGGUAAAAUAUGAUGAAGAGGAUCUAGCCUUGGUCCUGUUGUGUUCGCUACCCAAUUCUUUUUUGUCUUUUCGUGAUACUAUAUUGUAUCAUCAUGACACAUUGUCCAUUGAGGAGGUAUACGACGCCCUAUUCUCAAAAGAGAAGAUGGAGUUAUUGGUUGGAGAUCCUAAAUCUAGGAGUGGGAAUGCUCUGGUUACUCAUGUUGAUCGACGGAGGGGUAGAUCGAAGGUGAGGUACAUCAAUGUGUAAUGUUAUUACUGCAAGAGGAAAGGACACAUCAAGAAAGAUUGCGACAAGUUGCAGGGUAAAGGUGAUUUACAUGCAAAUCAUGCGAGGCAAUCAGGUAAUUCAAACGAGACUAAUAUUGCUGAAAAUUUUUGUGAUGAUGGAGAUGUGAUGUUGGCUGUAUCUAACAGGGAAUCCAAACCUGAGGAGUGGAUUUUGGAUUCUGCUUGUUCGUAUCAUAUAUGUCCCAAUAGGGCUUUGUUUCAAACAUAUGAGACGGUGAAGCAAGGUGGGGUUGUCAUGGGAAACAAUCAAUCUUGCUAGGUUGCAGGAAUCGGUCGGGUCAGAUUGAGGCUAUAGGAUAAAACAGUGAGGACACUUGAUCAGGUUCAUCAUGUUCCAAACUUGACAAAGAAUCUCAUAUCACUGAGUACCUUGGAUGAAAAAAAGUACAAAUUUUCUGGUGGAGGUAGAGUCUUGAAGGUUUGAAGGGGUGUCUGGGUUGUACUGGAGGGACGGAGGAAAUCCCAGUUGUACAUCUUGCAGGGGAGCGCAGAACCAGUUCAGAGACAUUUGGACAAGUUCAGUACCGUGGUGGACAUUCAAUUUAGUACAGUACCUCUCGGGUUUUGCUCUGGGUUAGUUAAGAACUUUGCUCAAGGGAGUAUUGGUGAUUCUGCUUUGCCACCAAUUUUAGUGGGUACACUGUGUUCUUGUAAUGCCAAUGGACUCAUGGAGCGUAGGUAUAGUUUUGGAGAUGUCUGUAGUGCUUUAGAAAUCAUUAAAGGUGACAAUAUUGGCAAGGGACCUUCUGAUUGUGCAUUUGGUGUGGUUUCUGCUACAGGGUGUACUUCGACCCUGUCCAGUGAUUGUUAAUUUCAGGAGGAAUUUUGAGAACCCAAGUUUUGGGUUCGGGUGUCGCUUGUGGAAGCUGGGGGGGUAAUGUGUUAUCGUGGAGAGUUUUGGUUACUGUGUUGAAGAAAUUGGUUAUUCUGAUGCAAAUGGAUUAUUUCUCAAGGUGGAGAAAUUUUGGAGUUUCGUUCGUUGCACCCGAAUUUGAGUCAAGGUGGAGAUUGUUAGAGUUGGUGAUUCAAAUUGGAAAGGAAAUCUUGAAGAUGCGUGAUGGAUUUGGAGAAUCAAAUAGUAUCCGAAAAAUAAGGAAACAAAGUCCUUGUCUUGUUUUUUUCCCGUUGAACCUAUAAUUUUUUCCUUUUUAGGACUCUUUUAGAGCUAGACUCUUGUGGUAUAAAUAUGAGUCUCCUCUUUCAGUAUUGUUGAAGCAUCAUUGCUGUCCAGUUGUAAUUCUCUCCAUAUUAAUAAAAUUCAUCGUUCCUCUGCUUAAUUCAUCUUUUACUUUAAUCUUGUUCGUGGUAUUUUGCGAUCCUGUAUUAUACUUCAAAUUGGUGUCCAUUAAAUCUCAAUUCUUGCGUUUCGUUUCCACCCGGUCCCAACAAAUAUUUGCAACAACUUCACUACGUGAAGGUUGAAGUCCAAAAGCACCUUCGUCUAUGCAUAAAGUUUGUGAUGUCUAUAUGGUAGAUUGUAAAACUAUCACUCAUUUUGGAAAUUGUAGAGAAUUGUUGGAAUAAUUUCCAAAAAAAAUGUCUUUUAGACAUUGGUAGUUUAAAUCAAGGAAAUACUUCAAGAAGCGUUGGAUCAAGAUAGGACAAGAACAAGAGAUGACCAAACGGACCAAAACUUGCACUAGUUUGCAACAUAAAUUGGCGCAAGUACGCCCAAGGCUAGUGCACCUGCGCUAGUUGAGUAAUUGAAGCGCAGGUACUCUGCCUUGUUGAUGCAAGUGACCUGUUGGCUAGUGCACCCGCGCUGCCAAGCGACAACAAUGGUGUCUUUUCGUUCCUAACUGAUGUUUGAUAGUUAGAAUUCAAUUUUUUUUUUCAGUUUGUAUUGAUGUAGUUCAAACUCUAAUAAUUAUCUUGAAGUGUUGUAACUCUUGGGAAGAUGUGUAAUAUAAUUUUAAUUCGUUUUUACUCUACCAUUUUCUACACUUUCUUGCAUCCAAAAUACCAACUUUAGUGCAUUCUUAUCUUCUUGAGUAUUGUUUGUAUUUAUCAUACUGCAGAUAUAAAGUGGAAAUUUUGAGUGGACUUUCCACUGUUCGUGUUGUCUUCGUGAGAAAUCCCAAACAACACUAAAGGGCUUCAUUAUAUCCUAUAGACGUAUUUUCAUUCCAUGUGCAUCAUAGAUUGGUGGAAACAAAUAACAUCUUAAGGAAAGAGAUAUUUGUUUUAUGCCUUGAAGCCGGUAUUGUUUUAAGUUCGAGUUUUUGCGAUAUUCCAACAUCUAGUUUCGUCUAAUCGUCAUCUCUAAACUGGUCUCACCUACACCUUCGAACCUCGUUUCUGUAAUCUACCUAUAUAUAUUGUCAAUUUGUUAAAAUUUGGAUGAUCGAAAAGGUCUUAC